rnacentral:lncRNA from 1 species
UGGGACUAUAAAACCUGAGAAGAGGUUCCAUAAUGUAUAAAAUGAUGAGGCAACGAUGGCAGCAAUAUGUUGAUUUGGUGUGGCAGCCACAGCCAUCAUGCCAUAAAAGGUGAAGUAUAAUAAGCUGAAGAACAUGAAGAACAGAUACCAGAAGAACUUAGCAGCUGUCCAUUCAAAUCCAAUCAUUGCAUAAACUAUAACACCAUACACCACAGCUUGUGAAAAGACAUAAGGUAUCUCAACUAAAGCCUGAAAGAAGAGAUGAAAUUUGAUUAAUAAAACCCAUAAAGUAUUAGAGAUAUACGAAGUCUAUAGCAUAAGAAAACUAAUUACCUGUGCAAAGGCAUAUGGCAUGGCUGAAUACAUUCCUGCAGCUCUUUCUCUGUAAAAGACUGUCCGUUCAACUGCCACGACUGGUUGCACCGAUUGGCCAUUCUGAAACCCAAGGAAGAGAACAGCGGCAUACAUAGAGCCCAUUGCAUUAGAUAUAUCUUGUUGUCUUGUCCUGCAUUUGCCAAUGUGAAGUAAAAAAUUAAAGUUGAUAUGGAGAAGCAUACUGAGUUCUCAAAAUUCUGAACUGACUUCAAACUACCUUUUGGUGCCGAGAUCCCAGAACAUUGUCCCAAACAUCAAGGCUACGAAAGUUGUGAAGAAAAAUCUCACUGCCGUGUAUGGUGGAUUUCGCCAGUAUGACAAACGUUGUUUCCAUAAGCAUGCCAUACACUGGGUGAAGAAGGACUGGGAGUAUUGAGUAGGGAAAUAGAGGUCCUUAGAACCAGGGGUAGGUUGGCUCAAUUCUUUAAUUAAAUCUUUGUUUCUCCUGAAACAUAUGCCACAUCUUAGAAAAGGCUUCAACAACAAAUUCAAGCUUGCAUGAUGAACUUUGAGAUGGCUGUAUAUGACAUUUCAAUAUCAUAAAGCAUUCAGAUAUCCUAUAGUUGAAUCACCUGUAUAGGUCUGACUUUUCGUAUAUUUCGGUGAAAUCCACCCCCAAAAUUAAUUCUUGUGCAGAAGCGGUAACUUCCAACAUCCAAGUUGCAGGGUUAUAACCAUCUUUGAUUUUACUUACUCCUUCAAUUCCCUUAAUGAAAGCAAGUCACAUGUAUUAGUAAGCACUUUAUAUGAAUUAACUUAAACUAAAGUAUUUGCUGCUUAUAGCUUUUAAUUUAUCAUGGAAGUUUACCUCAAAAUACUUUAUCAGAUGGGAAGAAUGUCUACCCAGUGGUCCCAUAUAUAUCUCUUGCCCUCCACGCUUCAACAGGAGCAACUGCAAACCCAUUUUGAAUAUGUCAGUACUUAUAUGCAGGAGAGCAUAGAAGAGAAUAAAUCCUUUCUAUCCAUUAACAUUUCCAACCUCAUCAAAGGCAUCAAAGAUGUCAAUACUUGGCUGAUGGAUGGUGCACACAACUGUUCUUCCUGUGUCCACUGUGUUCCUGACUGUUCUCAUAACAAUUGCAGCAGCUCUUGCAUCUAGCCCUGAAGUUGGCUCAUCCAUGAAUAUUAUUGAGGGAUUUGCCACAAGCUCAACUGCAAUGGUCAGCCUCUUGCGCUGCUCGGUUGAGAGACCAUUUACACCUGGCAACCCAACUAGUGCACCCCUCAAUGGGGUCAGUUCCACGAGCUCCAUGACUUCCUCAAUGAACAUCUAUAACCAUUACCAAAGAUUAGAAAUUGUUUGAACCAGCACUUUUCCUCAGAGUAUAGGUCAAGCCAAACUUGAACCUGACCAUAGCUCAACCAAGUUUGAAAAAUCAAUUCUAGGGCUUUGCUUGUUCAGAGCACUAAAUUCAAUCAGAAAAAUGUGGAAACAACACAGAAAACUCUCACCUUCCUUGUUUCAGCAUCCACAUUAGGAGGCAAUCGCAGCCAAGCUGAGUAGAGCAAGGACUCAUGGACAGUAACAUGAGGAGAGUGGAUGUCAUUCUGCUCACAGUAUCCAGAAAUGCGAGCAAAAGUCUCUUGCUUCUUUGGGUAGCCAGAAAUGCUGAUGCUACCCUCAAUAUAUCCACCAGUUUUCCGACCAGCCAAUACAUCCAUGAGAGUGGUUUUACCAGCACCACUAACACCCAUCAAAGCUGUAAGAACACCAGGCCUGAAAGCACCACUCACCCCCUUCAGAAGCUCCAAUCUGUCUUCAGGGACACCUUGACUUUUCAUUUCCUGCAAAUUCAAUUCAAACAACUUACUUCUCAUUUUUGGUUUAUUAGUGCUGCUAAAACAUGUACAUUAUUUGCAAAAAUAUGAAGUUACCUCUGGCAUGUCAACUGAGUAUCUAAUAUCAUCAAAGGUGAUAGAAAGUGGUUGGAAUGGAAGAACCAUUCCUUUUUUGUUGUUACGUCUCGCCUCAGCAAUGGCUUCUGCCCUCACAGAAGAGGAUACGGAUGAGAUACUUCGCCCAAUUUCCUCUCCACUCUCUGCAUGUUAAGUUUAAAUUUAGAGAGCAAUAUAGAACAUGGGUUAAAUGACAAGAACACAGGCACACAAAGGCAUGCAAGCACCAUGUAUGAGUUUCAUCACCUGUGGAUGCGGUUUGGUCAAUCGAGCCUUUUCUAUGGGACGAUAACUCAAUCUUUCCUUCAGUUUUGGCAUUGUCGGACUCUACUGUUAUAACAGCUUGAGGCUUCUCAAAUGCUGCACAAUUUGCAAAAAUCUUAAUACACUAACCUCCAAUCAUUUAGGAGUUUCAAUGCAGAGACGGUAAAGAUACUCACGAUUUAGGUAAGUCAGAGCCACAGUGUAACAGAAGUUGAAGACAAAUAUGAAUCCAAGCAGUGCCCCAGCUCCUAUCCAGUACCAGUGUGCCUCCGUGAAGAACCCACGAGCCUUCAAUACUGCUACUCCAAGGGAUUCUGUUGAAUUGGUAGAAGCAUUCUGAAAAAUGGAAAUACAUUCAAUCAUCAGUGACUGACACACAUAAAUAAACACAAAUACUCACAUGCAAAAUUCAAGAACUUACUUUGCUCCAACUCUUCCCAAGGAAUUCAUUUACCAGUAUGGCGUUCUGUGCAUACAUCAUAGGGGAAGACCAGUAACCCCAAAUCCACCAUUUCUUGACAUUUUCUGCAGCAUUGACCAAAUACAAAAAGAAAACAAAAAUCCAUUAUUAGUGUUUAUCAACAAGAAGGUUCUACAUUUCCUGAAAAUUUCUUUCCUCCUUAUACCUCGUGACAGGACAAUACCACCCAAUGCAAAGGGCAGAACUAAUGCAAAUGACCCAAAUGUGUUUGCAACAAUCAUGCUUCUACAAGCUGCUGCUAUAAAUCGAAAUAAUGAAGAUGCCGUCUGAUUAAGAAGCAAGAGGAGUAGAUACUGUCUAAACAAUCUGCAAUAAGAAGAUUUGUUUAUUGAGCAUAGAUCAUUUUGGAACAGAGAAAACAUGUGAAACAAAUCUGGACAAGUUUCUGCAACUUCACAAGUUUUUAACUUUUACCUUCCCACAUUUGGAUCAAAUCCAAUGACAUAAUAAGUGAUGAAUACCCAAACACCAACUUCAACAAAUGUGAUGGGGAUCUUGAGGAACCAUGAGGGAAGAGCAUAUGCCCAUGCAGGAUAGAAGAGCAGGCCUCUUUGCUUGUAAAAGACAGGAAGUUUUAGAAUGGUCAUGGCAAGUUCUGACAUUCCAUUAAACAUGACCAUCAUGACAGUGAAGAACAAAGCACCAGUGUAAAUGUUUCCAUCUUCUGUUGUGUUUUUGUGCAUCUCAGUUCUUAGGAAGAUUGUCAUUGCAAUCAUUGCGACUAUUGUGAGCUAAAAGCAGAAAUAAAAAUAAUAAAUUACGAUCAAAUGUACAAAAUUAAAAGCCAUUGUUAUAAGUAACAACAAUAAUAAUACUCACUUGGGUGAGCUUGAAAAUAUAGACAAAUGAAUUCCUCUUCAUCAGCAAGUACUCUCUUGAGAUGCAAGCAUCCAACAGUUCCUUCUUUCUAACACCAUAUUUUUCAGUUUUCAAAGCAGCCGGGUGGCUUUUGGUCUUGUCGAAUGGAGUUGCAAGCUCAUCUCCUAGUUUCCGUCCAAAGUGAAAUGACUGGAAUGCCUCAGCAAAUUCCUUGGCUGUGACAAAACUGUAAGGCUCAUCUUUAUGUGCCCAAUACUGCUCCUGAUCUUUCCUAGAUGUUACCUGCAAUCAAUUUUAAAAUUCGUGUUCUAGCUUGGUUUUUUCUAAAGAAGGGAAAAAAUGAGAAGAUGCCAAAAGGUACAAAGCUAUUAGCACUCACUUCUUGUAGGAAGUCUGCCACACCCUUCCUUUCAGGACAUCUGAACCCCAUGGAUUCAAAAAAGUUAAGAACGUCUUCACGAGGACCCUGAUAAAUGAUCCGGCUAUCAGAGAGAAGAAUGAUGUCAUCAAAAAGAUCGUAAGUCUCAGGUGCUGGCUGGAGGAGAGAGAUGAGAGCAGUCCCAUUGAGAAUGUGGACGGUUUGCCUGAGAGAAUUUACGAUUUGAUAAGUUGUUGAGCUAUCCAAGCCAGUAGAGAUCUCAUCCAUGAACAGUGCCUUUGAUGGUCCAACCAGCAUCUCACCUAUCAUUCAUAUAUUUUCAAAUAAUUGAACUAUAUUAGAUUAAUGAACAAAAAAUAUCUUCUUCUUUUUCUUUUUCCUUUUUCAUGUUAGAACACAAAUUAUCCUACCAGUUGUGACACGCUUCCUUUGUCCUCCAGAGAUACCCCUCACCAUUUCAUCUCCUACCAUGGUGUCUGCACAGAUUUCUAGUCCCAGAAUCUGUAAAUUUAAGUUUAAAUGAAAAUAAACAAAUUAUGAGUUAGAACUGGAUUUUCUCAGAAAUCUGUAUUCCAUCAUUGAAAGUUUUAUGGUUAUGAUACCUUUAGUGUAUAAUCAGUGAUCACAUUCUCCUUCUGGCCUUCAGCUGCCGCUGCCUGAAAUGUUAGAAACCAAUAAUGAAAAUCUCAACAACCAUUAAAGUUAGUUUGGUACAUGAAGAUAUUCCAUGGAUAAGAUCGACAGAACAUCAAGAAAACAAAGUCAAUUUGCAUAUCUAUGUGAGAGAUCAAAAUUUUCAUUCUAGAGAAGACAAGUGUCCAUGUUCUCCACGAAAAACAAAUAGCUGAUCAAUUUCAUUAAGUAGCUUCUGUCUCACCUUCAUGAAGACAUCGAUAUCAGGAUCGGGCUUUAUAUUUGCUGCUUUUUCUCUUCUUGAGAGCUCUACUAACAUGUCUGCAGAUAGCCAAAAUAAGAGUCAAUCUCCUGGCCUAGGCAAAUGUCAUACAACUACAUCCACAACCUUCAAAAACAAAGAAAAUAAAAGUGAAGGCAAUGGUUUAGACUAACCAUAUCGAUCUCCAACACCCUGGCAUCUUGCAGAGAAGGCCAAGGUUUCCCGUACAGUCAUUUCUCCUAUAUGGGUAUCAAGUUGGCUUAUGUAGGCGGCAGUUCUCUGGGGUACAAACUCAUUCAUGCCAUGACCGUUGUAUGUCACUCUUCCCGUAACCUAAACAAGAAAUUUCAGUUUUCAAAUUGGAUAAGAGAUUAAAGAGCUAAAAAUUGAAUACGCAUCAAAGAAGAAAAGCAAUAAGAGUUUUUUUUUUUUUUUUUUUUUUUUGUCCGUUCAACCUUUAGACUGGAAUCAAGCUUUCCGGACAGAGCCAAUAAGAGAGUGGUCUUUCCAGAACUUGGAGGACCCAAAAGCAACGUCAUUCUGCAGAAAAAAAAUAUGCACAAAAAAUUGAGUAUUGAUCUUCAGGGCAUUCUAAAUUUGAGAAAGGAAAAAAUCAUUUGAUUUAUCAAUCAAUUUUUUACUAGAAAUAAAUUCAAAUUCUCACCUUCCGGGUUUGAUGAUUCCGCUAACAUCAUGAAGAAUGGUGAAUUUCUUCUUUCUACUUGGAAGAAUCCGAAGAGUGUUCAAGAUAUCCUUUAAAACAGAAAGAAAAAUUAUAAUCUAAAAACAAACUUUCCCAAGAGAGUACUUAUUGAUUAGCUAAUGAUCUGCAUUUGCAUUUUAGUUACCUCAAUUUGAUUAAAAACAGAAUUAAUGAAUGAAGGCAAAGCUCUGCUUCCUACAUGAGCUUCUGCAUCAAUGGUAAGAUGCUCAAAUCUAACUUCAAUUUCGGGAAGAUCAAUCCCAACUCUGAAAAAUGGAAGAGCCACGAAAACUCGUUAUUAAAAAGUCGAAGGAAGAUGUUGUUUGGUUGCAAAGAAAAUAUAGGAAACACUAUCAGGCAUACUUAAGAUGAAUUCUUUCUUUUCCACUGUUUUCAAUGUUCAAAAAGAGGCGAGGAGCGCAAGAAAAGAAGAGAAAUCGCACCUAUCCAUACGAUUCUUGAGCUUCAACAAGAACUUCUCAUUGUCCUCUUCAGCGAUUUUCACCAACCGCUCGACUAAAUUCUUCCUUUCCUGAGGCCCAAGGUUGUGUAUAUCAACUUCACUGGCCUCACCCUCUGAUCCGAUCAGCAAACCUUUCCUCAGCCGAUUGUAGGUGGGAAGUUUCUCGAGGGCAGCCCAUUUCAAAGCUUCCUCAUCAUCCUCAUCCCUUGAAGAACGGGAGAAAACCUCCGCACCAGAGUUCCUCCAUAUGGAAGAACUGUUCUUCCUGAAACUACCACUGGCUCUACGACCACUGGCUGUAUAAAUUUCAGCUGUUUCCAUUGCAACACGAAACGAGGAACCCCCCUGCAAAACUAACCAGAACCCACCAAAACCCAGAAAUUUUUCCAAAAAAUCAGGAGAAGCCCAAGUUUUGAUCUCUGGAGCUGAAAAAAACUCAGUCAGAGAUGGGUGUCCUCCCCUCUUUUCUCUAUGCACUUUGUAGUGCUAAAACCUUGUUCUAUGUUAGAAAACCAUGAGGAAUGGAAGGUUUAUAUACUGAUUCGAAGGACAGAAUCAGAGGCGGCCUAAAUGUUUCAAAUUCUUACUUUAACAUUUUCACAAUUCUCCGCUAUCUUGUUUGUCAAGUAAAUGGAAAAGUGAAUUAUUAAAUGUUGUCCUAACCGCCAAACUAACUAACUUUCCCGGGCGAAACUAACGAACCCUCCUGAAUUCCAAAUGUAAAACAUUUAUGGCAUCUUGUCUAUACUCUUGUUUAAUGAUAUGAUACUUUGGGUUUAGUUUGCCUAAAUUAAUAAUGUAAGUUAAUUUUUAACAUUUCAUUUAUAGUCUAAUUUGAUGUUGAUAUAUUGAAUUUGGAUUACUUCUUUUAAUCUCGGAAUUUAUUAGGAUUAGAUUGGAGUUGAGUUAAGAGGCCUCGAGUUGAUUUAAAUUAUAUUCAAGGAAAGAGUUAAGUAAACUUUAAUAAGUGAACGAUGAAAUCUUUUAUUUCUAAAUUAUAUGUAAUAUGAUAAAAUAUAUGUCUCAUUAUUACGAGUUAAUAAGUUACACGAUGAAUUCAUCAACUAAUUUUUAUGUAAAAGUAGAAUAUCUUAUACAAAAUGUAUGGAUUUACCUUAUAUCUUUAAAAUUUAUUUUUAAAAAUUCUCGUGACAUCAUUACAUAUGUAAGCUUGAUUAAUUUUAAUGAAUAGUAAAUUUAUCAAAAAUUAAAUAAAUGUAUAGUCAAUUCUAAGUUAGUCAUUAUUUUAUUAAAGCUAAAAAUAUUUUAAAAUUUUCAAAAUCAAGGCUUCAAUAACUCACAACUUUAAAUAAAUAUAUAUAUAUUUAAUAAAAUAUCAAUUACAAAGUUAUAAAAAAGUUCAUUUUAUUAUGUUUUUAUUAUAUAUAGUAGAAUUUAAAUAAAAUUAAUUACAAAUUAAAAAAUAAUAAUUUUUUAUUAAAGCUUUUUUGGGGGGCUAAUUUUCUUUACUCUUUUUUUUUUUUUUAAUUCCUAAGAUGUGGGAUGAGAAGGACCCAAAAUUAAUUAGAUCAUUAUCCAAAUUAUUUUUAUUUUUAAAGAAUAAAAACAUUAUAAAUGGUUAGAAUCCAACCUUCUAGAAAGAAAUGAAAGACUAGCAAAUAAAUCAUACUAAAUCCAACAACUAAUUAAAGUCUCUUCUCAAUUUAUUUUUGGAUUUAUUUUCAUUUAAAAAUAGUAACCACAUAAAACAUAGGCCAAAUAUAUUCUAAAAAUAGGUUGAUUUCUCACACGUGUAGAAGAAAGGGUACGGGUGGCCAUGAUCAUGGGAUAGACAUGAUUGACUUUCAAAAGCUUAAAAAGAAAAUGACUUUCAAAAGCUGCUAAUGACUCCAUGAUACAUGGGAUAUGAAUUGUUAAAGAUUGUCACAACUGCCCCUUUUGACCCUUCAAAUUACUUCCACAGUCCAUCACUUUGCAGCUUUCUUGACCCUUGUUUACCAAGUAACCCAAUAGGCAUAAGAAUUAUUGGAGGUUGGCCCAACAGCCCCUUUUGACCCUUCAAAUGGCUGACACAGUCAACAUUUUCAGCUUUACUCACCCUUCUCAACCAAGCAAGCAACUCACUAGGAAUAGGAAUUAUCAAAUUAAGUAACUUUGCCACAAGCAGCCCCAACCCCACCCCCAACCCCCCACCCAACAUAUUUUUUUGGCAAUUUUUGUUAAAUCUAAUUUAAUAUUUUGAUAUUUGGAUUACCUAAAUUAGAAAUGUAAGUUAAUUUUUAGAAUUUUGUUUGUAGUCUAAUUUAAUGUUGAUUAAACUCGAGUAAGUUCAAAUUAGGAUUAAAUCUAUUUAAGGAUGGUGUUAAACAAAUGAGGAAACCUAAACCUUAAUUAAGUGGGUUAUUAGAAAAAAUAUUAUGGUAUUAAUUAUUGCAUGAAUUUGUAUGGCUUAAAAUUAGUUAAUAAUACCCCCUCAUUAUUAUUCAAUAAAAGUGGCCAAUUCUAUGGUAAAGAAUAAAAAUAUUAAAAACAUUAGAUACCCCUCAUUAUUAUUCAAUAAAAGUGGCCAAUUCUAUGAUAAAGAAUAAAAAUAUUAAAAACAUUAGUAAAAGAUGUUUUAGACUUUACUAAAAAAAAUUAAGUUAAAAGACUUUUUCAAAAGAAUUUUAAAAAGUAUUUAAACUCCCCACUAAGAUAUUUUUAAUAAAUCAUUUGUUUUUUGUUUACCAAAUGGAAAUUUGAAUUAUUAAAUGUUAUCUAACUGCUAGACAAAUUAAUAACUUGUUUGACAAUUAUUUUUUGAGAAGUGUUUUUUGUUUUUAUCUUUAGAUUGUUUUCACUUAUUUUUUUAAAUUUGUUUAAAAAAAUAAUUAUACAGAAGAAUGAUUAAAAAUAAAGUAUUAAAUAUAAAAAAAAAUCAUUUUUAAAAAACAUUAAAAACUAUUUUAAAAUAUUUUAAAUUCUCAAACAAACUUUUAUUUUACAAAAAAAUAAAAAAUAAUUUUCAAAAAUUGUUCUUAAAAACUAUUUUUAAAAAUUAUUUUUUAACACAAUUACAAAACAGAUCAUAACUUUCUUUGCCUAAGUGCAAAUCUACCUAAAUUGUAAAUGUAAAAUACUUUUUGGCAAUUUAUUUAUAAUUUAAUUUUAAGAUUCCACACUUUGGGUUUUGGAUUACCACUUUUAAUCUCCCAACUUUUUAGAGUAGGAUUGGAUUAGCUAAAUUUGACUCAAUGCUUAGAGUUAGGUCCCGGGUGGUUUUUGACUGGCUCAUACUCUCCUAAAUUAUAAAUGUAAGUACAUCUUUGGGUUCAUUUCCUUCUUUUUUUUUUUUUUUUUCAAAAACAAAAUAUCUUAUAUGAAAAAAAAAAAAAAAGAAUUCUUGUAUAAAAGCUAGUUAUAUACCUUGUAUAAAAAUUUAAGUAAUUUUACUCCCACAAAUUUUCUAGGUUUUGAAAAGAAUUUUUAGAAAUACAAGGUAAAUUUUAACUUUUUAUAUAAAAGUUCUUAUAUUUUAUAUAGAAAUUUUUAUUUUUAAAUAUAAAAAAUAAAAAAUAAAAAAUGUAUCUAAUCACCACCUAAAUUAUUUUUCACCAUUUUUUUUAUACUAUAAUCUAAUGUUUAUGAUCCAAAUCUAGUGUUUGUAGUUGAGUUUGUAUUAAAGUUUAGUCAACGUAUUCAUGGAUGAAGCUAAACUAAUGGCAGAAACUUUAUUUAAGUGAGCAAUUAGAACAAUUAUGAGGGUAAUAAAUAAUUGAUAAAUUUUCAAAAUUUAAAAUUUGUUAACAAUUCCCCUCAUUAUUAUCAAAAAUAUAUAUACAAUUAUAGAGGUUAAUUAUAAAAAAGAAAGAAAAUAUAUGAUAUAUCAAAUUGAAUAAAAAUAAUAUCAAACAUAUUGGUUAAGAUAUUUUAGUUUUUCUAAAAAACAUCCAAAAAAUUAAAAGGUUUUUUUCAAAAGAAUUAAAAAAUAGUUGAAAUUUUCAAUAAGAAAUUUCUAAUAAUUUUGUUUUAACAAAAAAAAAAUCCUAAAAAUAUUUUUUUUUUAAAAAAUUCAACAAUUCCACUUAUAAAUUUCUUCUAUUUUUCAAAUAGCUAAAGAUAAAUUGACUGAGAAAACUAUUUUUUUUUAUGAAGUAUAUAUAAUAUAGUAAAAAUAUCAUAUUAAGUUAUAUAAUUUUUAUAAUUAAAGUUAAAUUCAAAUUCUCAUGAUAUGAGUCAUUAUGUAGGAUUAAAUGAGAUUUGAUAUGAUGAUACUUAUAAAAUCGAUGAUUGAUAUUCAAAUGUUUCUUUUUAAAACAAAUUGAUUUAACUCUAUAAAUGAUACCACCACCCAUAUAAAUUAAUAUUAAUUACAAACUUCCAUAAUACAAAUCAUUGCAUAGGAUUAGAUUUAUUAAAAAUUAAAUAACAUAUAAAUUUAUAUAGCUUUGUAGUAAAUUCUAAAUUAGUGAUUAUUUGAUUAAAUCUAAAAAAUAAAAAUAAAAUGACCAAAUCAAUCUGCAAAAAAUUCACCACUCAAAAUAAUUUAAUAAAAUUUCAAAUACUAAUAGAAUUUUUUGAGGGAUGACGUUUAGAAAAAUCAAAUUUAGCUUUUUCUAUUUGAAAAAACCUCAUUUUCAAGGGAAGACAUUAUUAAAUCCUCCUUGAUGAUGGUAAAGCUAGGGAAAGAAAAAGAAACAACAAAUCUUAAUAUGAUGUUUCAAGGAACCCUUUCUUCAAUGAAGCAAACUAGUUUUAUGGGGCCUAAUUGACUGGAAGUUCUUAUUUUCAUUUGUCCAAAUAAAGAAAUAUUCAGAAACUGAAAAUCUUCUUUCCUCUCACAAUUCUGAACAAUCAAAGCAACUAUUAAUAAAAAACACUGAGAAUAUGACAGAUUUUGAACUUAAUAUCAUCUCGAUUCACCUACUCAAGAAAUUUGAUGAGUUUUUGAGCUUGGAAGAGUCAGGUCAAAUCCACAUGUCUGAAAAUUUGGAAGGCAGUGAUUCUACAAUUCAAAGUAUAACUGCUUCAUUUGGAUAUGAUCAUCAGGAUACCACUGUAUGAGCACCAAACUUUCUUACAUUGAAUGAGUUGAAUACUAGGAAAACUGAACUAACUCUUUUCAUGGGUCAAUCAUAUAACUAGAAAUGGGAUCUGUAAGUGCAGUCAUGGAACUGCUGGAAGCCUUGAAAUACCUCUGAACUUUCUGAAGAAGGUCAAAACUUUUCUUUUUGCUAGCUCAAGUCUAAAUUUAAUAGCAUUUCAAACCCUGCCCCGUCAUACAUUUGUGUCAAGUAGUCUGUCUUUGAUAUCUCCAAACUCUGCUGUAACCAAUCCAUACAAAGUUCAUGCAACCGGACAUGCCCAAUAAUACCAUCUCCACCACACAGGAAUCCUCUGCAUUCAUCAUGGAAGAAAUGCAACAAAAUGAGACAGUUUCGUAUCCAUGUGCUAAACAAAGUUCCAAUUUAAAGAAUUAUGGGUUGAGAGCACUAACAGUCCGUGGGACGAUAAAACCUGAGAAGAGGUUCCAUAAUGCAUAAAAUGCUACAGCAAUGAUGGCAGCAAUAUGUUGAUUUGUUGUGGCAGCCACAGCCAUCAUGCCAAAAAAGGUAAAGUAUAAUUGGCUGAAGAACGUAAAAAACAAAUACCAGAAGAACUUAGCAGCUGUCCAUUCAAAUCCAAUCAUUGCAUAAACUAUAGCACCAUACACCACAGCUUGUGAAAAGACACAUGGUAUCUCAACUAAAGCCUGAAACAAGAGAUGAAUUUUGAUUAAUAAAACCCAUAAAGCAUUAGAGACAUACAAAGUCUAAAGCAUAAGAAAACUUGUUACCUGUGCAAAGGCUUAUGGCACGGAUGAAUACAUUCCUGCAGCUCUUUCUCUGUAAAAGACUGUCUAUUUCAACUGCCACGACUGGUUGCACCAAUUGGCCAUUCUGAAACCCAAGGAAGAUAACAGCAGCUACAUAGAGCCCAUUGCAUUAGAAAGAUCUCGUUGCCUUGUUCUGCAUUUUCCCAUGUGAAGUAAAAAUUGAAGUUGAUUUGGAGAAGCAUACUGAGUUCUCAAAAUUCUUAACUUACUUCAAGUUACCUUUGGGUGCCGAGAUCCCAGAACAUGGUUCCAAACAUCAAGGCUAUGAAAGUUGUGAAGAAAAAUCUCACUGCCGUGUAUGGUGGAUUGCGCCAGUAUGACCAACAUUGUUUCCAUAAGCAUGCCAUACAUUGGGUGAAGAAGGGCUGGGAGUAUUGAUUAGGGAAAUAGAGGUCCUUAGAACUAGGGGUAGGUUGGCUCAAUUCUUUAAUUAAAUCUUUGUUUCUCCUGAAACAUAUGCCACAUCUUAGAAAAGGCUUCAACAACAAAUUCAAGCCUGCAUGAUGAACAUUGAGAUGGCUGUAUAUGACAUUUCAAUAUCAUAAAGCAUUCGGAUAUCCUAUAGUUAAAUCACCUGUAUAUGUCUGAGUUUUUGUAUAUUUCAGUGAAAUUCACCCCCAAGAUUAAUUCUUGUGCAGAAAUGGUAACUUCCAACAUCUUUGAUUUUUCCUACUCCUCCAAUUCCCUAAAUGAAAGCGAGUCACAUGUAUUAGUAAGCACUUGAUAUGAAUUAACUCAAACUAAAGUAUUUUGCUUAUAGCUUUUACUUUAUCAUGGCAGCAUACCUCAAAAUACUUUAUCAGAUGAGAAGAAUGUCUACCCAGUGGUCCCACAUAUAUUUCUUGUCCUCCACUAAAAGCAAACAGCUCAAAUUCUGCAAAACUGGUGAAAAUUUCACACAGUAGCUUCUGUCUCACCUUCAUGAAGGCAUCGAUAUCAGGAUCAGGCAUAAUAUUUGCUGCUUUCUCUCUUCUUGAGAGCUCUGCUAACAUGUCUGCAGAUAGCCAAAAAAAAGUGUCAAUCUCCUGGCCCAUGCAAAUGUCAUACAACUACAUUCACAACCUUCAAAAACAAAGAAAAUAAAAGUGAAGGCAAUGGUUUAGACUAACCAUAUCGAUCUCCAACACCCUGGCAUCUUGCAGAGAAGGUCAAGGUUUCCCGUACAGUCAUUUCUCCUAUAUGGGUAUCAAGUUGGCUUAUGUAGGCGGCAGUUCUCUGGGGUACAAACUCAUUCAUGCCGUGACCCUUGUAUGUCACCCUUCCCGCAACCUAAACAAGAAAUUUCAGCUUUCAAAUUGGAUAUGAGAUUAAAGAGCUAAAAAGUGAAUAUUCAUCAAAGAACAAAAGCAAUAGAACUUUCUUUUUUUUUUUUUUUUUUUUUUUCAAUUCAACCUUUAGACUAGAAUCAAGGAUUCCGUACAAAUCCAAUAAGAGAGUGGUCUUUUCAGAACUUGGAGGACCCAAAAGCAACGUCAUUCUGCAGAGAGAAAAAAUGCACAAAAAAUUGAAUACGGAUCUUCAGGGCAUUCUAAAUUUGAGAAAAUAAAAAUUCAUUUGUUUUAUCAAUCAAUUUUUUACUAGAAAUAAAUUCUUAUUCUCACCUUCGGGGUCUGAUGAUUCCGCUAACAUCAUGAAGAAUAGUGAAUUUCUUCUUUCUACUUGGAAGAAUCCGAAGGGUGUUCAAGAUAUCCUUUAAAACAGAAAGAAAAAUUAUAAUCUAAAGACAAACUUACCUAAGAGAAUAUUUGUUGCUUAGUUAGUGAUCUGUCUUUGCAUUUUAGUUACCUCAAUUUUAUUAAAAGCAGAAUUAAUGAAUGAAGGCAAAGCUCUGCUUCCUACAUAAGCUUCUGCAUCAAUGGUAAGAUGCUCAAAUCUAACUUCAAUUUCGGGAAGAUCAAUUNNNNNNNNNNNNNNNNNNNNNNNNNNNNNNNNNNNNNNNNNNNNNNNNNNNNNNNNNNNNNNNNNNNNNNNNNNNNNNNNNNNNNNNNNNNNNNNNNNNNUUCAAUUUNCGGGAAGAUCAAUUCCAACUCUGAAAAAUGGAAGGGACAUGAAAACCCAUUAUUAAGAAGUCAAAGGAAGAUGCUGUUUGGUUGAGAAGAAAAUGUAGGAAACACUGUCAGGCAUAUUUAAGUUGAAUUCUUUCUUAUCCACUAUUUUCACUUUUCAAUGUUCAAAAAGCGGCAAGGAACGCAAGAAAAGAGGAGAAACCGCACCUAUCAAUACGAUUCUUGAGCUUCAACAAGAACUUCUCAUUGUCCUCAUCGGCGAUUUUCACCAACCGCUCCACUAAACUCUUCUUUUCCUGAAGCCCAAGGUUUUGUAUAUCAACUUCACUGACCUCACCCUCUGAUCCCAGCAGCAAACCUUUCCUUAACCGAUUGUAGGUGGGGAGUUUCUCGAGUGCGGCCCAUUUCAAAGCUUCCUUGUCAUCCUCACCCCUCGAAGAUUGGGUGAAAAUCUCAACAUCAGGGGUCCUCCAUCUCAUAGAACCGGCUCUACGAGUUUCAGGAGUCGACAUUGCAACCAGAAAGGAAGAACUCUCCUGUAAAACCAAAAAGAACCCACCAAAACCCAGAAACCUUUCCGAAGAAUAUAAGCUCCUUUCUUCUCUCUUAGUACGAUGCUUUGUCUUGUUCCAUUGCUGCUACUUUGCUCUGCACUGGAAUAAACAUAUAGAAUGGAAGGUUUAUAUGGUGAUUGGUAGGACAGAAAAUGAAGCGGCUCAAAAGAUUCGAAACUGGUUUAUUUUCCUGUGAUUCUUAGAAAAUUGGCGGGGGAAAAUUGACCAUAGAGGAGUCUGCACAAUGACUCCGUAAUAAUGUGCACAUGCCACCAUCUUUACCUUUCACAGUUCAUAAUUACUUCCUAUAUUAAGACUUUCACGGUUCAUCUCACACUCCCUAUUUAACAAAAAAUUUAUAUUUUUCUAAAUAAAUGAUAAAAAUAAAAAAUAAAAAAUAAAAAAUAAAAGAAAAAUAAAUUUAUAAUCUAAACACUCAAAUGAUAUUUUAGACUAAUGAAAAAUAAAGAACCUAAAUAUUCAAUAACAUUCUCCUCUAUUAAGCCAUAAGCUUAGAAUCUUAAAACAAAUUACUCUAAGGCUAUGUUUGGUUAUCAUAAAAUUUGAAGGAAAAUGCAAGGGAAAGAAAAUGCAAAAGAAAAAUAGAAUGAAAGAAAAUAAAAAAUAGAUUAAAAGUUGAUAAUUUUUUUUAUUACUUUAAACUUAUUUUAUUUAUUUUAACUCAUCAAUACAAAGAUUGAAUAAUUUAAAAAUACAUAAGUUUUUAAUUAGUUUUAAUUGUAUUUGAUUUUCUUUUAUAUUUUUUAUAGGACAAUCAAACAUGAAAAAAUCAUUUUCCUAUGCAUUUUUUUUCUUUCCUUAGUAUUUUCCAGAAACCAAACAUAACCUAAAAAUAUUUUUUAGAGUUGUGUAUUUCAAAAAGAAUGGGAUUGCUUCUUUUUUUUUUUCAUUUUAAGUCUUAAAUUACUUUAAAAUUUAAAAUCAAAAUAUAAAAAAUUUUAUUUUUUACAUUAAGAUAAAUUUAUCUUAUACAAAGUAACAAGUUAAUAAACAAAUAGUUUUAAAACGACUUAAGUCUUAACACAAUUAAGUAUUAUUUUAAAAUUAAACAAUAAAAAAACCAUCACCUUACAAAUAAGAUUUAAGUGGGUUUUACCAUUCAAAAUUGCUUGAAAUCUAAGAGGUUAUUUGUUUUUUAAACUUAAAUCUUAAAGCUAAUUGCUUUAAAAUUUAUUAUAAAAAUAAAAAUAAAAUAAAAUAAAAACUUUUGUUGUUAAGACAAAAUUUUAUUUUAAAAAUGAUAAACUAAAAAAUAAUUUCAAAAAUGACUUCGAUCUUAAAGCAACCCUUUCUAUUAGGAUUCCAUGUCUAUCCUAAUUAAAAUUAAUAAUUAACUUGAUUUUCAGUAAGAUUAUAUCGAUAUUAACCGAUAUUAUUUUCUAAUAAAAGUAUUUAUGAAAGCACAAACACAUUUAUGCUUCAAAAAAUGGAAAACAUUUUUUAGUAUUUACAACUAUAUUUACAAAAUAGUUGGAUUCCUCACAUCCUUUCAAACACACUGCAGGUACAAAUUUAGAAUCCUCACAUGCUUUCAAACAAACUAUAGGUGCAAAUUUAGAAUCCUCACAUGCUUUCAAACAAACUCUAGGUGCAAAUUUAGAAGUUGUUGCCAUAAGAGAUUUUCAAAUUUAAUUUUUUUCCUUUUUCAUAAGGAAAAAACCUAGGUACUAAAUUUGUAGAUACCAACUUUGUCUAUCCACAUAAAAAUAUUCCAAAUAUAUUUAAAAAAAAAUUGGAGUCCUCACAUAAAGUCAUCUUGAACAAAGGGUACUGCAACUUUUUGGGCUGUCUUAAUUAUCUUGAGUUAAAUGGUAUAGUGUUUAAGAAUGUGGACCCGAGACACGAAUAAUUAGAGUAAGAUAUAACCAAAUAAGACUAAGAUACGAAAUAAUGAGACCAAAGAAUUUGUCUCUAAAAGAUAUGAAAAAAUGAGAGUUAAAUAUAAAUUAACCCGAUAUAGGUAUAAAUUUAACAAGAGAAAUAUUAGCUAUGCUUAAAUGUGUGAAUUUAGGAAAAUCUAAAAUUUCGAUCAUAAUUUUUCAUGAUUAAAUCAACUAUAUAUAGGAAUGGUUGAAAAUAAUGAAAGCAAUGUAUAACCAAAUGGGACUAAGAAAAAUAAUGAAACCAAAAAAUUUGUCUCUAAAAGGUAGCAAUAAAUGAGAACCAAGUAUGAAUCAACUAAAUAUAGGUAUAAAUUUAAAUAAAGAAAUAUUAGCUAUGCUUAAAUGUGUGAAUUUAGGAAAAUCUAAAUUUGGUCAUAAUUUUUCAUCAUUACAUCAACUAUAUAUAGGAAUGGUUGAAAGAGUAGUAAAUUUGGAAGGCUGUGAUUUUACAAUUCAAAGUAUAGCUGCUUCAUUUGGAUAUGAUCAUCAGGAUACCACUGUAUGAGCACCAAACUUUCUUACAUUGAAUGAGUUGAAUAGGAAAACAGAACUAAUUCUCUUCAUGGGUCAAGCAUAUAACAAGAAAUGGGAUCUGUAAGUGCAGUCAUGGAACUGCUGAAAAUACCUCUGAACUUUCUGAUGAAGGCCAAAACUUUUCUUUUUGCUAGCUCAAGUCUAAAUUUAAUACUAUUGUUUCACUGUUACAUUUGUGUCAAGUAGUCUGUCUUCGAUAUCUCCAAACUGUGGUGUAACCAAUCCAUACAAAGUCCAUGCAACUGGACAUGCCCAAUAAUACCAUCUCCACCACACAGGAAUCCUCUGCAUUCAUUAAGGAAGAAAUGCAACAAAAUGAGACAGUUUUGUAUCCAUGUGCUAAACAAAGUUCCAAUUUAAAGAAUUAUGAAUCAUUGUAAAAGAGUAAAUUUAUGGACAUACAAAUUAAUAUAAUUGUAGGAAAAAAUAGGAUUUGACUCACUAAUACGAAAAUAUAUAGAAAAAAUAGCCUCAAAUUGUUAUUCCCUAAAAUAUCCUUUUUACUUAUCAUGUUAUCAACACCAAUUGAUAACUAGAUUCCUUCAAGUAAAUUUAUUAUUAUUAUUAUAGGAAAAAGUAGGUUUUGACUCACUAAUAUGAAAAUAUAUAGAAAAAAUAACUUCAAAUUAUUAUUCCCUAAAAUGUCUUUUUUACUUAUUAUGUUAUCAACACCAAUUGACAACUAAAUUCCUUCACGUAAAUUUAUUUGUUAUUAUUAUUAUUAUUAUUAUUAUUAUUAUUAUUAUUAUUCCUUCACGUAAAUUUAUUGUUAUUAUUAUUAUUAUUAUUAUUAUUAAAAAUGCCCUAAACAAUCAAAGUCCUUAAAAUUAACCUCAACUUACCUUAAUGAAAAAAAAUCAUACGAAGACCUUGGAAAAAACCAUAAACCUUAUUUUCAGCAAACUCAAAUUAGCUAAGGUUUUACCUACUAGUUAUAUUCACACUCUUUCAAAUUACCUCACUUUUGCUAUGAGAUGUUUGUUUAUAGAAAAAAAAAUCAACUUUUCCUAAAGGGUCUUUGUUUUUGGAGAAAAAAAAUCUAAAAUGAUAAUAAUAAUAAUAAAUAUCUAAAAGGAAGAUAAUUAAUUACGUGGAGUUUAGUUGUCAAUUAAUGUUGAUGACAUGACAAGUAAAAAUGGCAUUUUAAAAAAUAAUUAGAUGACUCAUUAAAAAUUGCAUGUAUUUCAAAUUAUUUUAAAAUAAAUAAAUAUAAUAUCCAUAUACAAAAUUUAGAGUUCUUUUUUUUUCAUAUAUUUUCAUAUUAGUGAAUCAAAACCCAUUUUCCCCCCAUAAUUAUAUACUCAAUUUAUAUAUUAGCCAUUAUUUGAUAAAAUUUAAAAUUAUUUUUAAAAUAUCAAAAUCAAGCCCUAGAUAACUCACCAUUAAAAAAAUAUUUAAGAAGUUAUAAAAAGCUCCUUUUAUUAUAUUUUUAUGGUAUAUAGUAGAAUUUAAAUAAAAUUAAUUCUAAAAUUUUUAAAAAUUAAAACAAAAAAAAAUCAUUUAUAAAAGUUAUUAACCAUUAAUAAUUGAUAGUGGUUGUAUUAUAAAAAAAAAAAAAAGAAGGUUGUAUUAGUCUUGUCAUUGAUAUUCAUAAUUGAUAAUAUCAUAUAUUAAAAUUAUUAACCAUUACUAAUAAAUCAACACUAAUUAUUAAUUAUUUAGACCUAUUUUACAAAAAAAGAAUGAAAAUUUUAAAUUAAUAUACCAAAAUUAGUUUUAGAAGCAUAUAGAGAAGAUUGAGAAUAAAAUUUGAGUUUUGUGGUGUUGUUUUAGUGUUUUAAGUUUUGAAACUUGAGUUAAGUGAUUGUUCUUUGCUCUGUUUGGUUGUUGAGAAAAAUAGAAGAAGAUUAAGAAUUCAACUUAAGUUUCGUGGUUAUUGCUUUGGUGUUUGAAGUUUUGAAACUCGAGCCAAAUGGUUGUGCUAAUAUAUGUAUCUUUUUUUGUAUGGAUUCUAACCAAAUCAUGGUGAACACACUUGUGCACACAUCCAAGAACAUAUAUAUCAAAUUUGAACAACCGUAUAAUGCAGUUGUAUUGACCAUACAAAGAUAAUGAACAAACUAUGUAAAGGGUAUACAAGACAAAUCAUGGAUUUUGAACAGCUAUACAAGACCGUUACAUUGACUAUAUAGGAGCAAUGAACCAACUAUACAAAAUUAAUGAACUAACUACAUAAAAAGUGUACAAAAUAGGACAUGAAUUUUGAACAACCAUACAAUACAGUUGCAUUCACUUUAUAAGGCCAAUGAACUAAUUAUACAACCAAUGUAUGAAUUUGAAUGUUUGUUUACAACUUAUUUCUAUCCCUCGCCAAAACACCUCAAAGGUUUAUGACAAUAAAAAGAAAAAAAAAAGUAUUAAUUUUUUUUUCAAAUUUUAAAAAAUCCAAUAAAUAUAAAAAUAGAUUUUUAUUUUUUAAAGAUAAAAUUAAAAAUUGAAAAAAAUAUGAUAAAUUUAAUUUUUUUUAUCUUUAACUUAAUUUGUAAAUAUUUUAAAAAUAAAUAGGAAAAUUAAAAUAUUGCAAUUGAUUUUUAAGAUAAAAUUUGAAAACAAAAAAUAACAAUAACUUUCAUAUAAAAUAUAAAAACUUUUAGAUACUUAGGUGGUGUUUAUUUUUUUUACUUAAUUCAAAAUAGAACCUUAAUGUUUAAUAGUGUUAAAUAUUAGGUUGUUUGUUUUUAUAGUAUUUUAUUUCUAUUAAGUAUUAAAAAGUAAAAAAAAUAAAUAUGUUAUUUUUUCUAUUUAGAAAAAGCUACAUAUUUUGGCUUUUUCUAUUUAAUAAAAAGUUUAUAAUAAGUCAUGAAAAAAGUAGAAAAACAAAUAACCUAAAUUCUAAAACUAAAUUGCUUUCAGCAAAAAGCCAAAAAAAAAAACACCACCUUAAACUAAAGAGGUAAUGGUAAUAAAAAAAAGUAAAAAAAAAAAAAAAAAAAAAAAAAAAAAAAAAAAAAAAACUCUACCCCUGACUUGGUCCCCAUGUUCGAUAUUGUACUAUUAAACACACUUCAUUCAAAUCCAUUCAAAUUGCAGUCUUUGUAUGAAGAGACUUAGCUCUGUUCAUGGGGCAUUACCUUGUUCAAUGCUGAGUUUGAGCAGCAAACAUAGCUCCCUUGAGUCCUAGAGACCUCAAUGUGACUUUUACAGAGUCAGAUGAUCCCUUGCAUGUCUUUUACCCUUGUUUAGAUGGCGAGAAAAUUAGAAGAAAAGGUUUUAGAAACUCACCACUAAGCAAGGAUUCAUGCAGAAUUUGUUAUGGGAUGAUGCACAGAAUAUUUGCCUUCUUUCUCCUCUGUUCUACAAGCUAAAUGCACAUACUAAAGUGUAGUAUAUAACUUUGUAUUAACUCAAUGAGAUAGUGACACUUCUCAGACUAAUAGAAUGGUUUGAUCAAAUUCUGCAAGUAUAAACAGUAAAGAUCUCAGCUGAGCAAACAACUUUGUAUUACUUUUUCAUGUUGGCCACAAUCACUAGAUCCUCUAUCCCCUGUUGAACUUUUUUGCUGUUAAUGAACUCAAAAAUCAAAUUUAGCUUUUUCUAUUUGAAAAAACCUCAUUUUCAAGGGAAGACAUUAUUAAAUCCUCCUUGAUGGUGGUAAAGCUAGGGAAAGAAAAAGAAACAACAAAUCUUAAUAUGAUGUUUCUAGGAACCCUAUCUUCAAUGAAGCAAACUAGUUUUAUGGGGCCUAAUUGACUGGAAGUUCUUAUUUUCAUUUGUCCAAAUAAAGAAAUAUUCAAAAACUGAAAAUCUGUUUUCCUCUCACAAUUCUGAACAAUCAAAGCAAGUAUUAAUAAAAAACACUCAGAAUAUGACAGAUUUUGAACUUAAUCUCAUCUAGAUUCACCUACUCAAGAAAUUUGAUGAGUUUUUGAGACUGGAAGAGUCAGGUCAAAUCCACAUCUCUAUAAAUUUGGAAGGCAGUGAUUCUACAAUUCAAAGUAUAACUGCUUCAUUUGGAUAUGAUCAUCAGGAUACCACUGUGUGAGCACCAAACUUUCUUACAUUGAAUGAGAUGAAUACUAGGAAAACUGAACUAAUUCUCUUCAUGUGUCAAGCAUAUAACUAGAAAUGGGAUCUGUAAGUGCAGUCAUGGAACUACUGGAAAUACCUGUGAACUUUCUGAAGGCCAAACUUUUCUUUUUGCUAGCUCAAGUCUAAAUUUAAUACUAUUCCAAACCCUGCCCCUCAUACACAUUUCAUGGUUUUGAAACCAUACUAUUUUCAUGCUGAUACCUGUCUUUAUGAUUUCAGCUGCUUAAAGCAGAGACUGAAAGUGGAGCACCAUACCAGUAAGUUGGUCAUCAAGAUGAAAGGAUUGCAUAAGGUUAUAUUAUUCUCUUGAAUUUCAAAUUUCAAAUUACAUACAACUGGGAGAAAACAAAAUACAAGAAUUUAACAAGAUAAAUAUUACCUCCUCAUAGCAGGGCUAUCAAUACUAUCUAACAGCCUAUACAUAGAACGAAACCAUUUUUUCAUCUUUGAAGAACUUGAGCUUUUAUCGCCUUUGGAAGUUAAAUGCCUUAAUGGAAAAGGCAAAGAUAAAUAAGAAAAGCACCGUAAACCCAACAAUCACAGCUGCAACCACUCCCAGGAAAUCAUGUUCAAACCCAAAAUAGUCAUCCAAGUAUUGUUUCACUGUUACAUUUGUGUCAAGUAGUCUGUCUUCGAUAUCUCCAUACUGUGAUGUAACCAAUCCAUACAAAGUCCAUGCAACUGGACAUGCCCAAUAAUACCAUCUCCACCACACAGGAAUCCUCUGCAUUCAUCAUGGAAGAAAUGCAACAAAAUGAGACGGUUUCAUAUCCAUGUGCUAAAUAAAGUUCCAAUUUAAAGAAUUAUGGGUUGAGAGCACUAACAGUCCGUGGGAUGAUAAAACCUGAGAAGAGGUUCCAUAAUGCAUAAAAUGCUGCAGCAAUGAUGGCAGCAAUAUGUUGAUUUGGUGUGGCAGCCACAGCCAUCAUGCCAAAAAAGGUGAAGUAUAAUAGGCUGAAGAACGUAAAAAAAAUAUACCAGAAGAACUUAGCAGUUGUCCAUUCAAAUCCAAUCAUUGCAUAAACUAUAGCACCAUACACUACAGCUUGUGAAAAGACAUAUGGUAUCUCAACUAAAGCCUGAAACAAGAGAUGAAUUUUGAUCAAUAAAACGCAUAAAGCAUUCGAGAUAUACAAAGUCUAUAGGAUAAGAAAACUUGUUACCUGUGCAAAGGCAUAUGGCAUGGCUGAAUACAUUCCUGCAGCUCUUUCUCUGUAAAAGACUGUCCGUUCGACUACCACGACUGGCUGCACCGAUUGGCCAUUCUGAAACCCAAGGAAGAUAACAGCAGCAUACAUAGAGCCCAUUGCAUUAGACAGAUCUUGUUGCCUUGUUCUGCAUUUUCCCAUGUGAAGUAAAAAUUGAAGUUGAUAUGGAGAAGCAUACUGAGUUCUCAAAAUUCUUAACUUACUUCAAAUUACCUUUGGGUGCCGAGAUCCCAGAACAUUGUCCCAAACAUCAAGGCUAUGAAAGUUGUGAAGAAAAAUCUCACUGCCGUGUAUGGUGGAUUGCGCCAGUAUGACCAACGUUGUUUCCAUAAGCAUGCCAUACAUUGGGUGAAGAAGGACUGGGAGUAUUGAGUAGGGAAAUAGAGGUCCUUAGAACCAGGGGUAGGUUGGCUCAAUUCUUUAAGUAAAUCUUUGUUAUUCCUGAAACAUAUGCCACAUUUUAGAAAAGGCUUCAACAACAAAUUCAAGCUUGCAUGAUGAACUUUGAGAUGGCUGUAUAUGACAUUUUAAUAUCAUAAAGCAUUCAGAUAUCCUAUAUUUGAAUCACCUGUAUAGAUCUGAGUUUUUGUAAAUUUCAGUGAAAUCCACCCCCAAAAUUAAUUCUUGUGCAGAAGUGGUAACUUCCAACAUCCAAGUUGCAGGGUUAUAACCAUCUUUGAUUUUACUCACUCCUUCAAUUCCCUAAAUGAAAGCCAGUCACAUGUAUUAGUAAGCACUUUAUAUGAAUUAACUCAAAAUAAAGUAUUUUGCUUAUAGCUUUUACUUUAUCAUGGGAGCAUACCUCAAAAUACUUUAUCAGAUGGGAAGAAUGUCUACCCAGUGGUCCCACAUAUAUCUCUUGCCCUCCACGCUUCAACAGGAGCAACUUCAAAUGCAUUUUGAAUAUGUCAGUACUUACAUUCAGGAGAGCAUAGAAGAGAAUAAAUCCUUUCUAUCCAUUAACAUUUCCCACCUCAUCAAAGGCUUCAAAGAUGUCAAUACUUGGCUGAUGGAUGGUGCACACAACUGUUCUUCCUGUGUCCACUGUGUUCCUGACUGUUCUCAUAACAAUUGCAGCAGCUCUUGCAUCUAGCCCUGAAGUUGGCUCAUCCAUGAAUAUUAUUGAGGGAUUUGCCACAAGCUCAACUGCAAUGGUCAGCCUCUUGCGCUGCUCGGUUGAGAGACCAUUUACACCUGGCAACCCAACUAGUGCAUCCCUUAAUGGGGUCAGUUCCACGAGCUCCAUGACUUCCUCAAUGAACAUCUGUAACCAUUAGCAAGGAUUACAAAUUGUUUGAACCAGCACUUUUCCCCACAGUGAAGCUCAACCAAGUUUGAAAAAUAUGGAAACAACUCAAGAAAGUCUCACCAUUCUGGUUUCAGCAUCCACAUCAGGAGACAACCGCAGCCAAGCUGAGUAGAGCAAGGACUCGUGGAUAGUAACAUGAGGAGAGUGGAUGUCAUUCUGCUCACAGUAUCCACAAAUUCGAGCAAAAGUCUCUUGCUUCUUUGGGUAGCCAGAAAUGCUGAUGUUUCCCUCAAUAUAUCCACCAGUUUUCCGACCAGCCAAUACAUCCAUGAGAGUGGUUUUACCAGCACCACUAACACCCAUCAGAGCUGUAAGAACACCUGGCCUGAAAGCACCACUCACCCCCUUCAGAAGCUCCAAUUUGUCUUCAAGGACACCCUGACUUUUCAUUUCCUGGAAAUUCAAUUCAAACAACUUAGUUCUCAUUUUUGGUUUAUUAGUACAGUAACAACACUCCUAUGCAGCUAAAAUGUACAUUAUUUGCAAAAAUAUGAAGUUACCUCUGGCAUGUCAACUGAGUAUCUAAUAUCAUCAAAGGUGAUAGAAUGUGGUUGGAAUGGGAGAACCAUCCCUUUUUUCUUGUUAUGGUUAGCCUCAGCAAUGGCUUCUUCUGUCACAUAUGAGAAUGUAGAUGAGAUACUUCUCCCAAUUUCCCCUCCCCUCUCUGCAAGUUAAGUUUAAAUUUAGUGAGCCAUAUAACACAUGCAGUUAAAUGACAACAUGUAAGAGUUUCAUCACUUGUGGAUGCAGUUUGGUCAAUUGAGCCUUUUCUAUGGGAUGAUAACUCGAUCUUUCCUCCAGUUUUGGCAUUGUCAGACUCUUCUGUUAUCACAGCUUGAGGCUUCUCAAAUGCUGCACAAUUUGCACAAAUCUUAAUGCACCAACAUCCAAUAUUUUAGGAGUUUCAAUGCAGAGAUGGUAAAGAUACCCACGAUUUAGGUAAGUGAGAGCCACAGUGUAAAAGAAGUUGAAGACAAAUAUGAAUCCAAGCAGUGCCCCGGCUCCUAUCCAGCACCAGUGUGCCUCUGUGAAGAACCCACGAGACUUCAAUACUGUGACUCCAAGGGAUUCUGUUGAAGUGGUAGAAGCAUUCUGAAAAUUGGAAAUACAUUUAAUCAUCAGUUACUGACACAAAUAAACACAAAUAUUUACAUGGACGAUUCAAGUAACUUACUUUGCUCCAACUUUUCCCAAGGAAUUCAUUUACCACUAUUGCGUUCUGUGCAUACAUCAGAGGGGAAGACCAGUAAACCCAAAUCCACCAUUUCUUGAUAUUUUCUGCAGCAUUGACCAAAUACAAAAAGAAAACAAAAAUCCAUUAUUAGGGUUUAUGCACAAGAAGGUUCUACAAUUCCUAAAAAAAUCUUUCAUCCUUAUACCUCGUGAUAGGACAAAACCACCCAAUGCAAAGAGUAAAAGUAAUGCAAAUGUCCCAAAUGUGUUUGCAAUAAUCAUGUUUCUACUAGCUGCUGCUAUAAAUCGAAAUAAUGAAGAUGCCACCUGAUUAAGAAGCAAGAGGAGAAGAUACUGUCUAAACAACCUGCAAUAAAAGAUCUGUUCAUUGAGCAUUGAUCAUUUUGGAACAGAGAAAACAUGUGAAACAAAUCUGGACAAGUUUCAACAUCAUAACUUUUUAACUUUUACCUUCCCACAUUUGGAUCAAAUCCAAUGACAUAAUAAGUGAUGAAUACCCAAACACCAACUUCAACAAAUGUGAUGGGGAUCUUGAGGAACCAUGAGGGAAGAGCAUAUGCCCAUGCAGGAUAGAAAAGUAGGCCUCUUUGCUUGUAAAAGACAGGAAGUUUUACAAUGGUCAUGGCAAGUUCUGACAUUCCAUUAAACAUGACAGUGAUGACAAUGAAGAACAAAGCGCCAGUGUAAAUGUUUCCAUCUUCUGUUGUGUUUUUGUGCAUUUCAGUUCUUAGGAAGAUUGUCAUGCCAAUCACUGCCAUUAUUGUGAGCUAAAAGCAGAAAUAGACUUAAUAAAUUAGGAUCACAUAUAGAAAAUUAAAAACCAUCAUUGUAAGUAACAACAGUAAUAAUACUCACUUGGGUGAGCUUGAAAAUAUAGACAAAUGAGUUCCUCUUCAUCAGCAAGUACUCCCUUGCAAUGCAAGCAUCCAACAGUUCCUUCUUUCUAACACCAUACUUUUCGGUUUUCAUAGCAGCUGGGUGGCUUUUGGUUUUGUCAAAUGGAGUUGCAAGCUCAUCUCCUAGUUUCCGUCCAAUGUGAAAUGACUGGAAUGCCUCAGCAAAUUCCUUGACUGUGACAAAACUGUAAGGCUCAUCUUUACAUAUCCAAUACUGCUCCUGAUCUUUCCUAGAUGUUACCUGUAAUCAAUUUUAAAAUUCAUGUUCUAGCUUGGGUUUUUCUAAAGAAGGGGAAAAAAAUGAGAAUAUGCCAAAAGCUACAAAGCUAUUAGCACUCACUUCUUGUAGGAAGUCUGCCACACCCUUCCUUUCAGGACAUCUGAACCCCAUGGAUUCAAAAAAGUCAAGAACGUCUUCACGAGGACCCUGAUAAACAAUCUGGCUAUCAGAGAGGAGAAUGAUGUCAUCAAAAAGAUUGUAAGUCUCAGGUGCUGGCUGGAGGAGAGAGAUGAGAGCUGUCCCUUUGAAAAUGUGGAUGUUUUGUCUGAGAGAAUUCACGAUUUGAUAAGUCGUUGAGCUAUCCAAGCCAGUAGAGAUCUCAUCCAUGAACAGUGCCUUUGAUGGUCCAACCAGCAUCUCACCUAUCAUUCAUAUAUUUUCAAUUAGUUGAACUAUAUUAGAUUAAUGAAGGAAAAAAUAUCUUCUUCUUUUUUCUUUUUUUUCUUUUUUUUCCUGUUAGGACACAAAUUAUCCUACCAGUUGUGACACGCUUCCUUUGUCCUCCAGAGAUACCCCUCACCAUUUCAUCUCCUACCAUGGUGUCUGCACAAACUUCUAGUCCCAGAAUCUGUAAAUUUAAGUGUAAAUGAAAAUAAACAAAUUAUGAGUUAGAAUUGGAUUUUCUUAGAAAUCUGUAUUCUAUCAUUGAAAGUUUUAUGGUUCUGAUACCUUUAAUGUAUAAUCAGUGAUCACAUUCUCCUUUUGCCCUUCAGCUGCCACUGCCUGAAAUGUUAGAAACCAAUAAUGAAAAUCUCAACCACCAUUAAAGCUAGUUUGGUUCAUCAAGAAAUUCCGUGGAUAAGACCACAGAACAUGAAGAAAACAAAGUCAAUUUGCCUAUCCAUGUGAGAGAUCAAAAUUUUCAUUCUAGAGAAGACAAGAGUCCAUGUUCUCCACUAAAAACAAAUAGCUCAAAUUCUGCAGAACUGGUGAAAAUUUCACAAAGUAGCUUCUGUCUCACCUUCAUGAAGACAUCAAUAUCAGGAUCAGGCUUAAUAUUUGCUGAUUUCUCUCUUCUUGAGAGCUCUGCUAACAUGUCUGCAGAUAACCACAAAAAGAGUCAAUAUCCUGGCCUAUGCAAAUGUCAUACAACUACAUUCACAACCUUCAAAAACAAAGAAAAUAAAAAUGAAAGGCAAUGGUUUAGACAAACCAUAUCGAUCUCCAACACCCUGGCAUCUUGCAGAGAAGGCCAAGGUUUCCCGUACAGUCAUUUCUCCUAUAUGGGUAUCGAGUUGACUUAUGUAGGCAGCAGUUCUCUGGGGUACAAACUCAUUCAUGCCAUGACCAUUGUAUGUCACGCUUCCCAUAACCUAAACAAGAAAUUUCAGUGUCCAAAUUGGAUAUGAGAUUAAAGAGCUAAAGAUUGAAUAUUCAUCAAAGAAAAAGCAAUGAUUUUUUUUUUCCAUUCAACCUUUAGACUGGAAUCAAGCUUUCCCGACAAAGCCAAUAAGAGAGUGGUCUUUCCAGAACUUGGAGGACCCAAAAGCAAUGUCAUUCUGCCGAAAAAAUAAAAUAAAAUAAAUAAAUAAAAAUAAAAAUAAAUAAAUAAAGCUAAAAAAAUGGAGUAAGGAUCUUCAGGAGAUUCUAAAUUUGAGAAAGGAAAAAUUCAUUUGUUUUCCAAACAAUUUUUUAGAAAUAAAUUCAUAUUCUCACCUUCGAGGUUUGAUGAUUCCGCUAACAUCAUGAAGAAUAGUGAAUUUCUUCUUUCUACUUGGAAGAAUCCGAAGGGCGUUCAAGAUAUCCUUUAAAACAGAAAGAAAAAUUAUAAUCUAAAAACAAACUUACCCAAGAGAAUAUUUAUUGCUUGGCUAGUGAUCUGUAUUUGCAUUUUAGCUACCUCAAUUUGAUUAAAAGCAGAAUUAAUGAAUGAAGGCAAAGCUCUGCUUCCUACAUAAGCUUCUGCAUCAAUGGUAAGAUGCUCAAAUCUAACUUCAAUUUCGGGAAGAUCAAUUCCAACUCUGAAAAAUGGAAGAGAAAUGAAAAUCCAUUAUUAAGAAGUCAAAGGAUGAUGCUGUUUGGUUGGGAUGAAAAUAUAGGAAACAUGAAAAUCCAUUAUUAAAAAGUCAAAGCAAGAUGCUGUUUGGUUGCAAAGAAAAUGUAGGAAACACUAUCAGGCAUAUUUAAGGUGAAUUCUUUCUUAUCCACUGUUUUCACUUUUCAAUGUUCAAAAAGAGGCAAGGAACGCAAGAAAAGAGAAAUCGCACCUAUCAAUACGAUUCUUGAGCUUCAACAAGAACUUCUCAUUGUCCUCAUCGGCGAUUUUCACCAAACGCUCCACCAAAUUUUUCCUUUCCUGAAGCCCAAGGUUGUGUAUAUCAACUUCAUUGGCCUCACCCUCUGAUCCCAUCAGCAAACCUUUCCUCAUCCGAUUGUAGGUGGGAAGUUUCUCGAGGGCGGCCCAUUUCAAAGCUUCCUCAUCAUCUUCAUCCCCUGAAGUUCGGGAGAAAACCUCCGCACCAGAGUUCCUCCAUAUGGAAGAACUGUCCUUCCUUAAACUACCACUGGCUCUAUAAAUUUCAGCCGUUGCCAUUGCAACACGAAACGAGGAACCCUCCCUGCAAAACUAACCAAACCCACUAGAACCCAGAAACCUUUCCUACAAAUCAGAGGGAAAAAAAACCCAAAUUUCGAGCUCUGGAGCUGAAAAAGCUCAAAAUCAGAGAUGGGUCGCCUCCACCCUUUCCUCUAUGCAUGCAAUUCCGUCUCUUUGCAUUGUUAAAACUUUGUUCCAUGUUGGAAAAAUGUGAAGAAUGGAAGGUUUAUAUAUUGAUUGGAAGGACAGAAAAUGAGGCUGCUCAGAAGUUUGAAAACCGCUUAUUUUCCACUGACUUCAUCUAGAAAAAUUGGCGGGGAAAAUCGAAUCUAGAAGAGGCUAUGAAAUUACGAAUGUCUCCAUUUUUGACUCUUCAAAUUCUUAUUUUUACAUUUUCACAUUUCAUAAUUUUCAGCCUUCGAGUACAUUGUUUGUCAAGUGACUGUAAAGAAAUGUAAAUUGUUAAAUAUUGUCUAACCGCCGCACUAAGGGCUUGUGUAGACUUUCCCCCUGUUUCAAGAAUGGGUUUUUGUUACUGAAAACAAAAAAUACAAAAAACUUAUUUGAGGAAGGGGAUGUGUUUUUAUUUUUGUGUUUUCCGUGUUCUCAAAAACCACUUUUUUUCAGAACAAUAAAAAAAAUGUUUUCAUUAUUUUUUCAAUAGAAUAAAUUAUUUUUUGUGUUUUCUUUUUCUUCUUUUUGUGUUUUUCUAGCUCCUUUUUGUGUUUUCACAAAGGUGAGCUCCACCCUCACCCUCACCUACAAACCCUUUCUUUUUCCUUAAAUUAUUGAAAUUAAUAUAUUUACACAUUAACUUUCAAACAUGUUUUUUGUUUUACUUAUUCUAAAAAACUUUUUUAUUAACUCAAUAAAACAUUUUUUUUUUAGAACAAAAACUGUUUUUCAAAACAAUUUUCAAAAAUAGCAACCAAACAGACCUUAACUUUUCGGUUUAGCUCAAUUCCCCCUAAAUUGCAAAUGUAAUUUUUUGUGGUUAAAAAGAUGAGGGAAAAGUAGGAUUGAUUUACUAAUAUGAAAAUACAUGGAAAAACAAACCUCAAAUUUUUUAAAUAAUUAUUAUCUUCGUUUAUUUAAAAAUAAUUUCAAAUAGAUACAUUUUUUAAUGAGUCAUCUAAUUAUUCCCUAAAAUAUUUAUUGUCAUAUCAUUAAUAUUAAUUGAUAGAUAGAUUCUUUCACGUAAAUGUUUAUCUUCCUUUUAGAUUUAUUAUUAUUAUUAUUUUAUUUGGGAUUUUUUUUUCACUGCUUUUAUCAUUCAUACUCUUCAAACUAUCUCACUUUUAUGAGAUGUUUAUGAAAAAAAAAAUGUCUUAACUUUUCCUAAGGUGUUUGUUUUUGGGAAAGAAAAAAAUCUCAAAUAAUAAUAAUUGUGGGAUGCUCACAACCGUCUAGCAUGAUCCUUAUGUGUCGUCGAGAGUGAUGCCUAUUUUGUGCAAUCGUCAUGUAUCUGUCUACCUUAAAAUGCAAACAGACAUAAAUCAUUGGGGCACUAUACAUUCCCACCAAUCAAGUAUUAAAUACGACAGAUAUUAAGUGCAUUAAUUGACAUAACCAUUACUAAGCAUAAAACGUCAUACUUCCAAGGCUCAAAAACUAGUAAUCAUUAACAUUAAAGACGAUAAAAGUGCAAUCAAAUGUAUAAUAAACGCAUUGAGAAGACAUUACCUUUGAGCUUGAAUAAACAGUCAUUAUUCAUAAAAAAGAAGUGACUUAAGCUUCCAAAGGAUGUAUCCGAAAAACUCAUUCAAACAUUCUUUUGUGCAAGUGCAAUCGUCGUCUACAUCACAUGAAGGCUAGCCGAAUACUUCAUUAUUGGUCAUGCACCAACAAUAAUGAUAAUAAAUCUAUAAAAAAAAGAAAAAGAAAAACCAUUUAUGUGGACAAGUCUAGUUGUCAAUUAAGGUUGAUGACAUGACAAAAAACAAUAACAUUUUAAAGGAUAAUUAAAUGACUAAUUAAAAGCGCAUGUAUUUCAAUUUUUUUUAAAUAAAUAAAGAUAAUAUUGAUUUAAAAAAUUUAGGUUUCUUUUUUUCCAUAUAUUUUCAUAUUAGUAAGUUAAAACUCACUUUUCCCUUAAAAUUAAAUUCAAAUUCUUAUUAUUCAAAGCAUUACAUUAGUUUGGAUUUAUCAAAUAUUAAAUAACAUAUAAAUUAAUAUUAAUCAUAAAUUCCCAUAAUAUGAAUCAUUGUAAAAGAGUAAAUUUAUGAACAUACAAAUUAAUAUAAUUGUAGGAAAAAGUGAGUAUUGACUCACUAAUAUGAAAAUAUAUAGAAAAAAUAACCUCAAAUUUUUUAAAUCCAUAUUAUCUUCAUCUAUUAAAAAGUAAUUUAAAAUAUAUGUACUUUUUAUUGAGUCAUAUAAUUAUUCCCUAAAAAGUAAUUUGAAAUACACACACUUUUUAUUAUCUUCAUCUAUGAAAAAGAAACUUUUUUUUUCUUUUCAUUUCUUUUAUUUUUUCACACUCAAUUGUUUUUCAUAUUAUUCUUAUAUUUUAAAACAAAAUAAUUUCUUUAAAUAAUAAAUUAUAAAAUGAUUUUAUUAUAUUCAAUGCUUUUUUAAAUUUGCAAAAAUAGACCAUCACCCUAUUCACCUCCCUCUAGGGUGAUUACCAUAGGUUGGAUUAACCUAAUAUUUCUAAUAAUUUUUAAAAUAUCAAAAUCAAGCCCUAGAUAACUCACCAUUAAAAAAAAAAUAUUUAAGAAGUUAUAGAAAGUUCCUUUUAAUAUAUUUUUAUGGUAUAUAGUAGAAUUUAAAUAAAAUUAAUUCCAAAAAUUUUUAAAAAUUAAAAAAAAUCAUUUAUAAAAGUUAUUAACCAUUAAUAAUUGAUAGUGGUUGUAUUAUACAAAAAAAAAAAGGUUGUAUUAGUCUUGUCAUUGAUAUUCAUAAUUGAUAAUAUCAUAUAUUAAAAAUUAUUAACCAUUAAUAAUAAAUCAACACUGAUUAUUAAUUAUUUAGACCAUUUUUACGGAAAAAAAAAUAGUGAAACUUUUAAAUUAAUAUACCAAAAAUAGUUUUAGAAGCAUAUAGAGAAGAUUGAGAAUAAAAUUUGAGUUUUGCGGUGUUGUUGUUUUAGUGUUUUAAGUUUUAAAACUUGAGUCAAGUGAUUGUUCUUUGCUCUGUUUGGUUGUUGAGAAAAAUAGAAGAAGAUUGAGAAUGAAACUUGAGUUUUGUGGUUAUACAGUUGCAUUCACUUUGUAAGGCCAAUGAACUAAUUAUAAAAGCAAUGUAUUGUUUACAACUUAUUUUUAUCCCUCACCGAAAUACCUCAAAGGUUUAUGACAAUAAAAAGAAAAAAAAAAGUGUUAAUUUUCCUUUUCAAAUUUUAAAAAAUCAAAUAAAUAUAAAAAUAGAUUUUUAUUUUUUAAAGAUAAAAUUAAAAAUGGAAGAAAAAUAUGAUAAAUUCAAUUUUUUACCUUCAAGUUAAUUUGUAAAUAUUUUUAAAAUAAAUAGGAAAAUUAAAAUAUUGCAAUUGAUUUUUAAGAUAAAAUUUGAAAACAAAAAAUAACAAUAACUUUCAUAUAAAAUAUAAAAACUUUUAGAUACUUAAACAAAAAAGGUAAUGGUAAUGAAAAAAGUAAAAAAAAAAAAAAAAGUGAAGUUUCAAAAAUUUUAUCCCAUCUCAAAUUCAAAAAUUUUUAAAAGUAAUUUUUAAGGAUAUAAAACAAACCUAUAUUUUUUAUAUAAGAAUUUUCCUUUUUUUUAAGUUAUAAAAAUUAUUCUCAAUUUCUCCUUUUAAAAAUAAUGAACAAGAAAUGUAUUUAAAAGAAACCUUAUAUUGAAAAAAUUUUAAAUGCCUAAUAAUUAAAAAAAAAAUUCUAAAUUUAAAAAUAAUAAUUUAAGUUUUAAAAUUAUAAAUCGUAUAUGGAACUUCUUCCCAUUAAAUAAUUGCUUACUUAAUCCCCACAUGUGAUUUUCUAAAAACCCAAUUAAGGGUAUUUUGGGCAUUUUUGGCUCACAAAAUGUUGGUACGUCCUUCAUAGUAAUUUGGAGACGUGCUCGACCCCAUCACAACAAUUAUACAAAUUCAUGGUCUUUAGGGUCAUUAUCACCUUCAUGGCUUCAAUCAGCCCUCGAUCAUAGCCGGCUGUAGGUGCAAUUUGGUCUCUUCUCACUUUAUUAAUCACACAGGACAAAGUCCAAAAUCAAAUAUAUUCUAAAAAAUAGGUGGAUUCUUGGCAUGUGUAUCAGGAAUUUUACUUUUCAUAUGGAAAGUGGUGAUUGCCUAAAUGGAACGCGUGAUUGACUUUAAGUCCUAAAAAUAAUAAUAAAUAAAUAAAUAAAUAAAUAAUGAAAAAUAAGGCAAUUGUGCCUAACUAUUGAAUGAAAAAAAUAAAAUAUUUUGUCACAUCUAUGGAAAGUUGACUUUGACAAUGACAUGAUAGAAUAGGUCAAGCCCACUAGAUUUCAGGAAAGUAGUAAGUAAAAAAUAAAUAUAAAAUGAUAUUCUAGUAUUUUAUUGAGCAUAAAAAAUAGAAAAUAAAUUCAAAUAUAAUUAAAAUUAAAUUUAUGAAUUUUAAGAUUAUUUAAUUUUUAUAUAAAAUAGUUAAAAAAAUUAAAUAAAAUUUUAAAAUAUAUAAAAAAUAAUUUAUUGAGUUUAAAUAAUUUUUCUCAUUAUUUUAUUUCUGGAAUUUCCUCAAAUUUUUCAAAAUCCAAAUGCUCUAUGAAAAUUGACUUUGACAAUUACAUGAUAGAAUAGGCCAAGCCCACUAGAUUUCAGGAAAGUAGCAAGUAAAAAAUAAAUAAAAAAUGAUAUUCUAGUAUUUUAUUGAGCAUAGAAAAUAUAAAAUAAAUUCAAAUAUAAUUAAAAUUAAAUUUAUAUAUUUUAAAUUUAUUUAAUUUUUAUAUAGAACAAUUAAAAAAAUUUAAUUUAAUUUAAAAAUAAUUUAUUGAAUUUAAAUAAUUUUUCCCAUUAUUUUAUUUCCAUAAUUUCCUCAAACUUUUCAAAAUCCAAAUGCUUGGUUAAGCUUUUUGAAAGCGAAUAUUAUAAUAAUAAUAAUAACAACUUAUUGAACUUUCCAUGCAUCAUCUUCCUUAAAAUAUAAAUGCUCCAACUCCCAUUUUCAAAUUUAUCAUUACAAAUUUUGCAAUUUUGGUUUAUUUAAAUUUAAAUACAGAAGAGGCCAAUAAUGGCUCCUAAUACAUGGAAUACGCAUAUCCCACCAUUUUUUACCCUUCAAAUUCUUAUAUUAACACUUUCUCCGUUCUUAAAUUCUAGCUUUUCUAUGUCUUAUAUGGGUAUAUUAGGCUAUGUCGUUUAAGAUCGACAAUUUUGUUCUAUUCAUUUUAGCUUAAAAGUGUCCAAGAAUAUGCUCUAUAUUAAACCUCUCUCAUGUUAGUAGCUUCAACAAGAUAGGAGUUCUUGAUGGAACAUCUAUGGUCCGGGGGACAUGAUAGACAACCCAUAUGACUAGUUCACAUAAUUAUGAAUCUUCUAUUCAAAUAUUUUAAUAUUUGACUCCCUUUUCCACAAUGAUAGCUAUACUUAUGAAUGAAAAAAUCAAGGCCAUCAAAGCCUCCUUGAUGAUGGUUAAAGCAAGAAAAAGAAACAAUGAAUCUUAAUGUGAUGUUUCAAGGAGCCCACUUUUCAACGAGGCGACCUGAAUUUAAGGGGCUUAGUUCACUGGAAGUUCUUACUUUUCUUGAUUCCAGAUAAUGAAAGAUUUGAUAUAUAUCUAGAAAUUCAAAAUCUUCUUGUCUUCACGCUUUCUGAUCAAAGCAAGUAUUAAUAAAGAAAACAAUCAGAACAUGACAGAUGUUGAACUUCAUCUUGUCUAGAUUCACAGAGUCGAUGAGGUUCUGAGCUUGGAAGAGUCAGGUCAAAUCCACAUGUCUGGAAAUUUGGAAGGCAGUGAUUCUACAAUUCAAAGUUGUAUAUCCACAUGUCUGGAUCUGAUCAGCAGGAUACCAAUGAAUGAGCACCAAGUUUAAGUAACUACUUUUCUUCAUGGGUCAAGCAUGGAACUUAGAAAUACCUCUGAACUUUCUGAAGAAGGCCAAAACUUCCCUUUUUGCUAGCUCAAGUCUAAAUUUAAGAGUGUUGCAAACCCUGCUCCUGAUACACGCUUGUUGGUUUUGAAAACAUACUAUUUUCAUGUUGUUACCGUGUCUUAAUGUCUUCAGCCACUUAAAGCAGAGACUGAAAGUGGAGCACCAUACUAGUAAGCAGGCAAUCAAGAUGAAAGAAUUGCUUAAGGUUACAUUAUUGUCAUGAAUUUUAACUUACAUAAAAUUGGGAGAAAACAAAAUACAAGAAUUUAACUAGUAUUAUCUGCUCAUUGCAGAGCUAUGGAUACUCUCUAACAGCCUAUACAUAGAACAAAACCAUUUUGUUCUAUCUUACAACCAAAGGUUGAACUGAGAAUGUUACAUAUACAUUAACCAACCAUCUUUGAAGAACUCGUGCUUUUACCGCCUUUGGAAGUUAAAUGCCUUGAUGGCAAAGGCAAAGAUAAAUAAGAAAAGUACUGUAAACCCAACAAUCACAGCUGCAACCACUCCUAGAAAAUCAUGUUCGAAUCCAAAAUAGUCAUUCAAGUAUUGUUCCACUGUGUCACCUGUGUCCUCAAAUCUGUCCUGUAUAUCUCCAAACUGUGAUGUAACCAAUCCAUACAAAGUCCAUGCAACUGGACAUGCCCAAUAGUACCAUCUCCACCACACAGGAAUCCUCUGUAUUCAUCAUGGAAGAAAUGCAACAAAAUGAGUCAUUUCCAUAUCCAUGUGCUAAAGAUAGUUGCAAUUUAAAGAAUAAUGAGUUGAGAGAACUUACGGUUCGAGGAACUAUAAAACCUGAAAAUAAGUUCCAUAAUCCAUAAAAUGCUGCAGCAACGAUGGCAGCAAUAUGUUGAUUUGGUGUGGCAGCCACAGCCAUCAUGCCAUAAAAGGUGAAGUACAGUAAGGUGAAGAACAUGAAGAACAGAUACCAGAAGAACUUAGCAGCUGUCCAUUCAAAUCCAAUCAUUGCAUAAACUAUAACACCAUACACCACAGCUUGUGCAAAGACAUAUGGUAUCUCAACUAGAGCCUGCAACAAGAGAUGAAAUUUGAUUAAUAAAACCCAUAAAGUGUUAGAGAUAGACAGUCCAUAGCAUAAGAAAACUAGUUACAUGUGCAAAGGCAUAUGGCAUAGCUGAAUAUAUUCCUGCAGCUCUUUCUCUGUAAAAGACAGUCCGUUCAACUGCAACGACUGGCUGCACCGAUGAGGAAUUUUGAACCCCAAGGAAGAGAACAGCAGCAUACAUAGAACCCAUUGCAUUACUCAAAUCUUGUUGUUUUGUCCUGCAUUUUACCAUGUGAAGUAUGAAUUAAAGUUGAUACAGAGAAACAUACUGAGUUCUCAAAAUCCUGUACUGGGUUCAAAUUACCUUUUGGUGCCGAGAUCCCAGAACAUUGUCCCAAAUAUCAAGGCUAUGAAAGUUGUGAAGAAAAAUCUCACUGCCGUGUAUGGUGGAUUGCGCCAAUAUGACCUACGCUGUUUCCAUAAGCAUGCCAUACAUUGGGUGAAGAAGGACUGGGAGUAUUGAGUAGGGAAAUAGAGGUCCUUUGAACCAGGGGCAGGUUGGCUCAAUUCUUUAAUUAAAUCUUUGUUUCUCCUGAAACAUAUGCCACAUCAGAAAAGGCUUCAAUAACCAAUUCAAGCUUGCAUGAUGAACUUUGAGAUGUGUAUACAUGAGAUUUCAAUAUCAUAAUGCUUUCAGAUAACCUAUAGUUGAAUCACCUGUAUAGGUUCGAAUUUUUGUAUAUUUCAGUGAAAUCCACCCCCAACAAGAAUUCUUGUGCCGAAGUGGUAACUUCCAGCAUCCAAGUUGCAGGGUUAUAACCACCUUUGAUUUUACUCACUCCUUCAAUUCCCUUAAUGAUAGCAAGUCACAUGUAUUAGUAAGCACUUGAUAUGAAUUAACUCAAACUAAAGUAUUUGCUGCUUAUAGCUUUUACUUUAUCAUGGCAGCUUACCUCAAAAUACUUUAUCAGACAAGAAGAAUGUCUACCCAGUAGUCCCACAUAUAUCUCUUGUCCUCCUCGCUUCAGCAGGAGCAACUGCAAAUCCAUUUUAAAUAUUUCAGUACUUAUAUGCAAAGCUCAUAGAAGGGAAACUAUAAAUUCUUUCUAUCCAUUAACAUUUCCUACCUCAUCAAAGGCUUCAAAGAUGUCAAUACUUGGCUGAUGGAUGGUGCACACAACUGUUCUUCCUGUGUCCACUGUGUUCCUGACUGUUCUCAUAACAAUUGCAGCAGCUCUUGCAUCUAGCCCUGAAGUUGGCUCAUCCAUGAAUAUUAUUGAGGGAUUUGCCACAAGCUCAACUGCAAUGGUCAGCCUCUUGCGCUGCUCUGUUGAGAGACCAUUUACACCUGGCAACCCAACUAGUGAAUCCUUCAAUGGGGUCAGUUCCACGAGCUCCAUGACUUUCUCAAUGAACAUCUGUAACCAUUAGAUAGGAUUAGAAAUUGUUUAAAAAAAAAAUGCGAAGCCAUAGCAGAGAUGGUAAAAAAAUUGACACUGCUUGUGACUCUUUUCAGUUAGCAGGUUGUGAACAAGUUUCUCUAGUCUUAUUAAACAGAUCAGUUCAUGGUUGCCAAUGCUCAAUAACACCUAUUAGCAUGCAUGAACUUCACCAACUUGGAUUCCAGGUCAACCAAAUUUGAACCAGCACCUUUCCCCAGGGUGAAGUUCAAGCCAAACUUGAACCUGAUCUAAGCCCAACCAAGUUUGAAAAAUCAAUUCUAGGGCUUUACUUGUUCAGAGCCCUCAAUUGAAUAAGACAAAUGUGGAAAGAACUCAGGAAGACCUCACCUUUCUAGUUUUAGAAUCCACAUCAGCAGGCAACCUCAGCCAAGCAGAGUAGAGCAAGGACUCAUGGAUAGUAACAUGAGGAGAGUGGAUGUCAUUCUGCUCACAGUAUCCAGAAAUUCGAGUAAAAGUCUCUUGCUUCUUUGGGUAGCCAGAAAUGUUGAUGUUACCCUCAAUAUAUCCACCAGUUUUCCGACCAGCCAGUACAUCCAUGAGAGUGGUUUUACCAGCACCGCUAACACCCAUCAGAGCUGUAAGAACACCAGGCCUGAAAGCACCACUCACCCCCUUUAGAAGCUUCAAUCUGUCUUCAAGGACACCCUGACUUUUCAUUUCCUACAAAUUCAAUUCAAACAACUUAGUUCUCAUUUUCGGUUUAUUAGUGCUGCUAAAGCAUGUACAUUAUUUGUAUUAAUAUGGAGUUACCUCUGGCAUGUCAACUGAGUAUCUAAUAUCAUCAAAGGUGAUAGAAAGUGGUUGGAAUGGAAGAACCAUUCCUCUUUUGGUGUUACGUCUAGCCUCAGCAAUGGCUUCUGCCCUCACAGAUGAGGAUGUGGAUGAGAUGCUUCUCCCAAUUUCGUCUCUCCUCUCUGCAUGUUAAGUUUAAAAUUAGUGAGCCAUGUAAAACAUGUGGUUAAAUGACAAGAACAAAGGCACACAUGCACCAUGAAUGAGUUUCAUCACCUGUGGAUGCAGUUUGGUCAAUCGAGCCUCGUCUAUGGGAUGAUAACUCGAUCUUUCCUCCAGUUUUGGAAUUCUCAGACUCUUCUGUUAUAACAGCUUGAGGCUUCUCAAAUGCUGCACAAUUUGCACAAAUCUUAGUACACUAAUCUCCAAUAUUUUAGGAUUUUCAACACAGAGAAUGUAAGGAUACCCACCAUUUAGGUAAGUGAGAGCCACAGUGUAACAGAAGUUGAAGACUAAAAUGAAUCCAAGCAGUGCCCCAGCUCCUAUCCAGUACCAGUAUGCCUCUGUGAAGAACCCGCGAGACUUCAAUACUGCUACUCCAAGGGAUUCUGUUGAAUUGGUUGAAGAAUUCUGAAAAAUGGAAAUACAUUCAAUCAUGACACAAAUAAACACAAAUAUUGAUAUGAAACAUUCAUAAACUUACUUUGCUCCAACUCUUCCCAAGGAAUUCAUUUACCACUAUUGCGUUCUGUGCAUACAUCAGAGGGGAAGACCAGUAACCCCAAAUCCACCAUUUCUUGACAUUUUCUACAGCAAUGACCAAAUACAAGAAGGAAACAAAAAUUCAUUAUUAGGGUUUAUGAACAAGAAGGUCCUAGUUUCCUAAAAAAAAUCUUUCCUCCUUAUACCUCGUGACAGGACAAAACCACCCAAUGCAAAGAGCAAAAGUAAUGAAAAUGACCCAAAUGUGUUUGCAACAAUCAUGUUUCUACCAGCUGCUGCAAUAAAUCGAAACAAUGCAGAUGCCAUCUGAUUAACAAGCACGAGGAGAAGAUAUUGUUUAAACAGCCUGCAAUAAGAAGAUUUGUUUAUUGAGCAUUGAUCAUUUUGGAACAAAGAAAACAUUUGAAACAAAUCUGGACAUGUUUCUUUUACCUUCCCACAUUUGGAUCAAAUCCAAUGACAUAAUAAGACAUGAACACCCAAACAGCAACUUCAACAAAUGUGAUGGGGAUCUUGAGGAUCCAUGAGGAGAGAGCAUAUGCCCAUGCAGGGUAGAAUAGUAGGCCUCUUUGCUUGUAAAAGACAGGAAGUUUUGCAAUGGUCAUGGCAAGUUCUGACAUUCCAUUAAACAUGAUCAUGACAACAGUGAAGAACAAAGCACCCAUGUAAAUGCUUCCAUCAUCUGUUGAAUUUUUGUGCAUCUCAGUUCUUAGGAAGAUUGUCAUGGAAAUUGCUGCCAUUAUUAUGAGCUAAAAGAAGAAACAAAAAUAAUGAAUUACGAUCAAAUGUACAAAAUUAAAAGCCACUGUUAUGAGUAACAACAAUAAUAAUACUCACUUGGGUGAGUUGUAAAAUAUAGACAAAUGAAUUCCUCUUCAUCAGCCAGUACUCUCUUGAGAUGCAAGCAUCCAACAGUUCCUUCUUUCUAACACCAUAUUUUUCAGUUUUCAAAGCAGCUGGGUGGCUUUUGGUCUUGUCGAAUGGAGUUGCAAGCUCAUCUCCUACUUUCCGUCCACUGUGAAAUGACUGGAAUGCCUCAGCAAAUUGCUUGACUGUGACAAAACUAUAAGGCUCAUCUUUACGUGCCCAAUACUGCUGCUGAUCUUUCCUAGAUGUUACCUGUAAUCAAUUUUAAAAUUCAUGUUCUAGCUUGAUUUUUUCUAAAGAAGGAAAAAAAAAUAUGAGAAGAUGCCUAAAGGUACAAAACUAUUAGCACUCACUUCUUGUAGGAAGUCUGCCACACCCUUCCUUUCAGGACAUCUGAAGCCCAUGGAUUCAAAAAAGUCAAGAACGUCUUCACGAGGACCCUGAUAAACAAUCUGGCUAUCAGAGAGGAGAAUGAUGUCAUCAAAAAGAUCGUAAGUCUCAGGUGCUGGCUGCAGGAGAGAGAUGAGAGCAGUCCCAUUGAGAAUGUGGAUGGUUUGCCUGAGAGAAUUCACGAUUUGAUAAGUUGUCGAGCUAUCCAAGCCAGUAGAGAUCUCAUCCAUGAACAGUGCCUUCGAUGGUCCAACCAGCAUCUCCCCUAUCAUUUAUAUAUUUCACAGUUGAAUUAACUUAAAUUAAUGAACGAAAAAUUCUAAUUUAUUUUAUUUGGUUGGAAACCAAAUUAUCCUACCAGUUGUGACACGCUUCCUUUGUCCUCCAGAAAUACCCCUUAUCAUUUGAUCCCCUACCAAGGUGUCUGCACAGACUUCUAGUCCCAGAAUCUGUAAAUUUAAGUGUAAAUGAAAAUAAACAAAUUAUGACUUAGAAUUGGGUUUUCUCAGAAAUCUGCAUUCCAUCAUUGAAAGUUCUAUGGUUAUGAUACCUUCAGUGUAUAGUCAGUGAUCACAUUCUCCUUCUGGCCUUCCGUUGCCGCUGCCUGAAAUAUUAAAAACCAAUAAUGUAAAUCUCACUCACCAUCAAACCAAUAAGUACCUUAAGAUAUUCCAAGGACAAAAGAUUUUGCUCUGCAGAACUGGUUAAAAUUUCACUCAAAGUAGCUUCUGUCUCACCUUCAUGAAGACAUCGAUAUCAGGAUCAGGCUUAAUAUUUGCUGCCUUCUCUCUUCUUGAGAGCUCUGCUAACAUGUCUGCGAAUAGCCAAAUAAAAGUCAACCUCCUGGCUUAUGCAAAUUUCAUAUAACUAAAUUCACAAGCUUCAAAAACAAAGAAAAUAAAAGUAAAAGGCAAUGAAUGGUUUAGACCAACCAUAUCGAUCUCCAACACCCUGGCAUCUUGCAGAGAAGGCCAAGGUUUCCCGUACAGUCAUUUCUCCUAUAUGGGUAUCAUGUUGGCUGAUGUAGGUUGCAGUUCUCUGGGGUACAAAUUCAUUCAUGCCAUGACCAUUGUAUGUCACCUUUCCCGUAACCUAAAGAAGGAAUUUCAGUUUCCAAAUUGGAUAUGAGAUUAAACAGCUGAAAAUGGAAUAUUCAUUAAAGAACAAAAGCAAUAAUUUUUUUUUUCAUUCAACCUUUAGACUGGAAUCAAGCUUUCCGGACAAAGCCAAUAACAGAGUGGUCUUUCCAGAACUGGGAGGACCCAAAAGCAGUGUCAUUCUGCAGAAAAAAAAUAUGCACAAAAGAUUGAGUAUGGAUCUUCAGGAUAUUCUAAAUUGGAGAAAGUAAAAAAAUCAAUUUGAUAUAUAUAUAUCAAUUAAUUUUUUUUCAAAAAAAAAAAAAAAAUCAUAUUCUCACCUUCGAGGUUUGAUGAUUCCACUAACAUCGUGAAGAAUAGUGAAUUUCUUCUUUCUACUCGGAAGAAUCCGAAGAGUGUUCAAGAUAUCCUUGAAAACAGAAAGAAAAAUUAUAAUCUAAAAACAAACUUACCCAAGAGAGUAUUUAUUGCUUAGCCAGUGAUCUGUAUUUGCAUUUUAGUUACCUCAAUUUGAUUAAAAGCAGAAUUAAUGAAUGAAGGCAAAGCUCUGCUUCCUACAUGAGCUUCUGCAUCAAUGGUAAGAUGCUCAAAUCUAACUUCAAUUUCGGGAAGAUCAAUCCCAACUCUGAAAAAUGAAAUAGACAUGCAAACCCAUUACUAAAAAGUCAAAGGAAGAUGUUUGGUUGUGAAGAAAAUGCAGGACUAUCAGUCACAUUUAAGGUGAAUUCUUUCUUUUCCACUGUUUUCAAUGUUAAAAAAGAAAAAGAAAAACGGCAAGAAACGCAAGAGAAGAGGAGAAAUCGCACCUAUCUAUACGAUUCCUGAGCUUCAACAAGAACUUCUCAUUGUCCUCUUCGGCAAUUUUCACCAACCGCUCCACUAAGUUCUUCUUUUCCUGAAACCCAAGGUUGUGUAUAUCAACUUCACUGGCCUCACCCGCCGAACCCAUCAGCAAGCCUUUCCUCAUCCGAUUGUAGGUGGGAAGUUUCUCGAGUGCGGCCCAUUUCAAAGCUUCCUCAUCAUCUUCAUCCCUUGAAGAACGGGAGGAAACCUCCUCACCAGAGUUCCUCCAUAUGGAAGAACUGUCCUUCCUUAAACUACCACCGGCUCUAUAAAUUUCACCCGUUGCCAUUGCAACACGAAACGAGGAACCCUCCCUGCAAAACUAACCAAACCCACUAAAACCCAGAAACCUUUCCUACAAAUUAGGAGGAAAAAAACCCAAAUUUCGAGCUCUGGAGCUGAAAAAGCUCAAAAUCAGAGAUGGGUCGCCUCCACCCUUUCCUCUAUGCAUGCAAUGCCGUCUCUUUGCAUUGCUAAAACUUUGUUCCAUGUUGGAAAAAUGUGAAGAAUGGAAGGUUUAUAUAUUGAUUGGAAGGACAGAAAAUGAGGCUGCUCAGAAGUUUGAAAACCGCUUAUUUUCCACUGACUUCAUCUAGACAAGUUGGCGGGGAAAAUCGAAUCUAGAAGAGGCUAUGAAAUUACGAAUGUCUCCAUUUUUUACUCUUCAAAUUCUUAUUUUACAUUUUCACAGUUCAUAAUUUUCAGCCUUCGAGUACAUUGUUUGUCAAGUAACUUUAAAGAAAUGUAAAUUGUUAAAUGUUGUCUACCUGCCGCGGCCUGUUUAGUUCCAGUUUUCAAAAAUGGUUUUUUGUUAUUGAAAAUAAAAAACACAAAAAAACUUAUUUAGGAAAGGGGAUGUGUUUUUGUUUUUGUUUUUUUUUUUGUGUUUUCGGUAUUCUCAAAAACCACUUUUUUUUAGAAUAAUAAAAAAAUAUAUUUUCAUUAUUUUUUCAAUAAAAUAAAUUAUUUUUCGUGUUUUUUUUUUUUCUUCUUUUUGUGUUUUCCUAGGUGCUUUUUAUGUUUCCACGAAGGUGAGUUCCACCUUCACAUCCACUCACAAACCUUUUCUUCUUCCUUAAAUUAUUAAAAUUAAUAUACUUAUACAUUAACUUUCAAACAUGUUUUUUGUUUUACUUAUUCUAAAAAACUUUUUUAUUAAUUCAAUAAAACAUGUUUUUUUUUUUUUGAGAACAAAAAUUAUUUUCCUAAACAAUUUUCAAAAAUAGCAACCAAACAGACCUUAACUUUUCGGUUUAGCUCAAAUCCCCCUAAAUUGCAAAUGUAAUUUUUUGUGGUUAAAAAGAUGAGGGAAAAGUAGGAUUGAUUUACUAAUAUGAAAAUACACGGAAAAACAAACCUCUUCGUUUAUUUAAAAAUAAUUUCAAAUACAUACAUUUUUUAAUGAGUCAUCUAAUUAUUCCCUAAAUUAUUUAUUGUCAUGUCAUUAAUAUUAAUUGAUAAAUGGAUUCUUUCACGUCAAUGUUUAUCUUCCUUUUAAAUUUAUUAUUAUUAUUAUUAGUAUUAUUAUUUUAUUUGGGAUUUUUUUUUCACUGCUUUUAUCAUUCAUACUCUUCAAACUAUCUCACUUUUAUGCAAGGAUUGAAAUAUCGGUAAACACGGAUAUAUCGGUACUUGGAUUUUACGGAUAUAUCGGAAAUAUCGGAGAAAUAUCGGUGGAUAUUUUUCAUCAAAUAUCGGUGAGACAAAAAUUAUCCAAAAUUGAUGGGAAUGUUUAAAAAAAGCCAAAGAAUGAUAAAAUAAGCAAGAAUAUGCAUGUUAAAGUUAUUUUAUAAGUGUAAUUGACAUAAAUAUGGUCAAAGAAAAAAAUAUCGGUAAAUAGUUUACGAUACUUGGAUUUGAAGAAUAAAAAAUAUGAAAUUUGGAAUUGUACACUUAGAAAGUUAGAAUUGAGUUAAGAAAUAUUUGAUUUCAUUAAAUGAAAACAAUUUACACAUAAACAUAAUACAUAUGACAUUGCAAUGGUCCUUAAUACCAAAAUGAAGAUCGAUGUGGUUCCAUCAUAUUGUUAUUGUUAGAUGAAGGGAGCCCAUCUUGUUGAAGACAAUAUUCAUACCAGGACAUGGAGUUUCGAUAGUAUUGAUUGUAUGUACGAACAUGCCAUGCAUAAAUUUCUUGAGUCCUACCAACAACUUGUCCAUGGAUAGGAAAUCCAGGGUNNNNNNNNNNNNNNNNNNNNNNNNNNNNNNNNNNNNNNNNNNNNNNNNNNNNNNNNNNNNNNNNNNNNNNNNNNNNNNNNNNNNNNNNNNNNNNNNNNNNUGAGGCUGCUCAGAAGUUUGAAAACCGCUUAUUUUCCACUGACUUCAUCUAGACAAGUUGGCGGGGAAAAUCGAAUCUAGAAGAGGCUAUGAAAUUACGAAUGUCUCCAUUUUUUACUCUUCAAAUUCUUAUUUUACAUUUUCACAGUUCAUAAUUUUCAGCCUUCGAGUACAUUGUUUGUCAAGUAACUUUAAAGAAAUGUAAAUUGUUAAAUGUUGUCUACCUGCCGCGGCCUGUUUAGUUCCAGUUUUCAAAAAUGGUUUUUUGUUAUUGAAAAUAAAAAACACAAAAAAACUUAUUUAGGAAAGGGGAUGUGUUUUUGUUUUUGUUUUUUUUUUUUGUGUUUUCGGUAUUCUCAAAAACCACUUUUUUUUAGAAUAAUAAAAAAAUAUAUUUUCAUUAUUUUUUCAAUAAAAUAAAUUAUUUUUCGUGUUUUUUUUUUUCUUCUUUUUGUGUUUUCCUAGGUGCUUUUUAUGUUUCCACGAAGGUGAGUUCCACCUUCACAUCCACCCACAAACCUUUUCUUCUUCCUUAAAUUAUUAAAAUUAAUAUACUUAUACAUUAACUUUCAAACAUGUUUUUUGUUUUACUUAUUCUAAAAAAACUUUUUUAUUAAUUCAAUAAAACAUGUUUUUUUUUUUUUGAGAACAAAAAUUAUUUUCCUAAACAAUUUUCAAAAAUAGCAACCAAACAGACCUUAACUUUUCGGUUUAGCUCAAAUCCCCCUAAAUUGCAAAUGUAAUUUUUUGUGGUUAAAAAGAUGAGGGAAAAGUAGGAUUGAUUUACUAAUAUGAAAAUACACGGAAAAACAAACCUCUUCGUUUAUUUAAAAAUAAUUUCAAAUACAUACAUUUUUUAAUGAGUCAUCUAAUUAUUCCCUAAAUUAUUUAUUGUCAUGUCAUUAAUAUUAAUUGAUAAAUAGAUUCUUUCACGUCAAUGUUUAUCUUCCUUUUAAAUUUAUUAUUAUUAUUAUUAGUAUUAUUAUUUUAUUUGGGAUUUUUUUUUCACUGCUUUUAUCAUUCAUACUCUUCAAACUAUCUCACUUUUAUGAGAUGUUUAUGAAAAAAAAAAUGUCUUAACUUUUACUAAGGUGUUUGUUUUUGGGAAAGAAAAAAAUCUCAAAUAAUAAUAAUUGUGGGAUGCUCACAACCGUCUAGCAUGAUCCUUAUGUGUCGUCAAGUGUGAUGCCUAUUUUAUGCAAUCGUCAUGUAUCUGUCUACCUCAAAAUGCAAACAGACAAAUCAUCGAGGCACUAUACAUUCCCACCAGUCAAGUAUUAAAUACAACAUAUAUUAAGUGCAUUAAUUGACAUAACCAUUACUAAGCAUAAAACAUCAUACUUCCAAGACUCAAAAACUAGUAAUCAUUAACAUUAAAGAUGGUAAAAUUGCAAUCAAAUGUAUAAUAAAAGCAUUGAGAAGACAUUACCUUUGAGCCUAAAUAAAUAGUCAUUAUUCAUAAAAAANNNNNNNNNNNNNNNNNNNNNNNNNNNNNNNNNNNNNNNNNNNNNNNNNNNNNNNNNNNNNNNNNNNNNNNNNNNNNNNNNNNNNNNNNNNNNNNNNNNNGAAUUAUGCAUAUAUGAAAUAGAUAAACAUUACAAUAAAAUUUUGAUAAGAAUUAAAUUAAAUUAAAAUAAAUUAAAUUUGCAUAUUCAUGAAAUUGAUAAGAAUCAUUACUAAUAAAAAUUAAAAUUGAAUUAUGCAUAUAUGAAAUAGAUAAACAUUACAAUUACAUUUCCAUAUGAAUUAGAAAAUAUCAAUUAAACUAUAUAUAACAAAUAAAAUUUAAUUAUGCAUAAUAAAAUAAAUUUUAUAAAAGGUAAGACAUACCUUAAUUAGCCUUUGACUUGGAGUUAAUCCCCUUCACCACCAAAUUUUCAAAAUAAAAAAUUUUUGCUAGAUCAUAUAAGAAUUUUGAUGUAUGAAAUGAAAUGGAAUGUGGGUAUUUAUAGGAAUUUUUUUGGUCAAACUAGCCGUUGGAUGGUCAAACUAGCCGUUAGAAAUUAAUUUUAACCGUUGGAUCAAAAUUUGGUUCAAAUUUCACCAUUAGAUCUUCAUAUAACCGUUGGAAACACUCCAUAGCCCUUGGAUAAAGUCAAGAUUGAUUUUCCACCAUUGGAUCACAAAUCUGACCGUUGGAGGCCUUUACAUACACGGGUGAAAUCUGGGCCAUCAGAUCCUCAAAAAUUCAAAAUUGGCCGUCAGAUCAAAAGCAGGGAAUCUUCAAAAAAAUCGCCGAUUUUUUCAAAAAAUCGCCGAUUUAUCGCGAUUUUAUCGGCAAAAAAUCGCCGAUUUUUUCAAAAAAUCGGCGAUAAAUCGCCGAUUUUACCGAUUAAUCGCCGAUUUUUUGCUGUCCUCUGCCGUCUUCGCCGCGCGUGGCUCCACUCGCCGAUGUUUCGCCGAUUUUUCGGUCCUCCACCGAUAUUUCGCCGAUAUAUCGGCGAUUUUGCCGAUUUUUGGCCGAUUUUUCCGUCAAUCGAUAAUCGGUGCCGAUUAUCGUUUCGAUGCCGCCCGAUAACCGAUAUUUCUCCGAAAUAUCGGCGACAUUUUCCGAUUUUUCAAUCCAUGCUUUUAUGAGAUGUUUAUGAAAAAAAAAAUGUCUUAACUUUUACUAAGGUGUUUGUUUUUGGGAAAGAAAAAAAUCUCAAAUAAUAAUAAUUGUGGGAUGCUCACAACCGUCUAGCAUGAUCCUUAUGUGUCGUCAAGUGUGAUGCCUAUUUUAUGCAAUCGUCAUGUAUCUGUCUACCUCAAAAUGCAAACAGACAAAUCAUCGAGGCACUAUACAUUCCCACCAGUCAAGUAUUAAAUACAACAUAUAUUAAGUGCAUUAAUUGACAUAACCAUUACUAAGCAUAAAACAUCAUACUUCCAAGACUCAAAAACUAGUAAUCAUUAACAUUAAAGAUGGUAAAAUUGCAAUCAAAUGUAUAAUAAAAGCAUUGAGAAGACAUUACCUUUGAGCCUAAAUAAAUAGUCAUUAUUCAUAAAAAAGAAGGUAUGUUGCCACUUUUCCAAAAAAUCUCUUGCUCAAGUUUUUUACAUCUGACUUAAGCUUUGAAAGGAUGUAUCCGAAAAACUCAUCCAAACAUUCUUUUGUGCAAGUGCAAUCGGUCGUCUACAUCACGUGGAGGCUAGCCGGAUACUUCAUUAUUGGUCAUGCACCAACAAUAACGAUAAUAAAUCUGAAAAAAAAAAAACAUUUAUGUGGACAAGUCUAGUUGUCAAUUAAGGUUGAUGACAUGACAAGUAACAAUGACAUUUUAAGGGAUAAUUAAAUGACUAAUUAAAAUUGCAUGUAUUUUAAUUUUUUUUAAAUAAAUAAAGAUAAUAUUGAUUUAAAAAUUUAGGUUUCUUUUUUUCCAUAUAUUUUCAUAUUAGUAAGUCAAAACUCACUUUUCCCUUAAAAUUAAAUUCAAAUUCUUAUUAUUCAAGGCAUUACAUUAGUUUGGAUUUAUCAAAUAUUAAAUAACAUAUAAAUUAAUAUUAAUCAUAAAUUCUCAUAAUAUGAAUCAUUGUAAAAGAGUAAAUUUAUGAACAUACAAAUUAAUAUAAUUGUAGGAAAAAGUGAGUAUUGACUCACUAAUAUGAAAAUAUAUAGAAAAAAUAACCUCAAAUUUUUUAAAUCCAUAUUAUCUUCAUCUAUUAAAAAAUAAUUUGAAAUACAUGCACUUUUUAAUGAGUCAUAUAAUUAUUCCCUAAAAUUUCCAUAAAAAAAAAUGUUGGUUACCAAUAAUCACAUCAAGAAUUUUACAUAAAAAAAUAAAAAAAUAAAAACAAAAAUAUAUUACUUUUUUAUAUGUAUCUCUAUCUCCUGAAUUGAAGAUGAAAUAAAAAAACAGAAGAAUGUCCUAAACAAUCAAGGUCCUUGAAAUUAACCUCAACGUACCCUAAUGAAAAAAAUCCUACAAAGACCUUGGAAAAAACCAUAAACCUUAUUCCCUGCAAACUCAAACUCACCUAUAGUCCGCUAAGGUUUUACCUACUUUUAAUUUCCACACUCUUCAAACUACCUCACUUUUGCUACGAGAUAUUUGUUUAUAGAAAAAAAAAAUUCAACUUUUCCUAAAGGGUCUUUGCUUUUAGAACAAAAAAUCUCAAAUAAUAAUAAUAAUAAAUAUCUAAAAGGAACAUAAAUAAUUACGUGGAGAAGUCUAGUUGUCAAUUAAUGUUGAUGACGUGACAAGUAAAAAUCAAAAUUUAAAAAAUAAUUAGAUGACUCAUUAAAAAUUGCAUGUUUUUCAAAUUAUUUAAAAAUAAAUGAAUAUGAUAUCAAUAUACAAAAUUUAGAGUUCUUUUUUUCCAUAUAUUUUCGUAUUAGUGAAUCAAAACCCACUUUUCCCAUAAUUAUAUACUCAAUUUAUAUAUUAGCCAUUGUUUGAUAAAAUCUAAAAUUAUUUUUAUGAAACCAAGGUUUGGUUCAUUGCGAUUUUGAUGAUAACAAAACAAGGUUUAGAACUAAUGAUUUUAUUUCAAGUGUGAUUAGGCAAGAUGAUUUCCAAAGUGGUAAUCACAAAGACAAAUCAAGUCAAGGAGAAAUUACGAAGAAGAAGACCACCUCAAAGAGAAGUGUUUUUCAAGACCUAAGUUUCAUAAGAUCUCUUUAUAAAGUUGUUGGUGUACUAGGAUUUUCAUACAUUACAUUCUUUACUUAUAUUCCAAAAUUAUCCAAGAGUUAUUUUGUUUUAAAUAUUUUAAAAUUGGAUGAUUUCAUGUUUUCAACUCAAACCUUGUGUCAAAAUGUUUUUCAAACUUGUUUAAAAGGUUUUAAAUUGAAAAAGUUGGUUGUUAAGCCAAAAACAGCUCAAUCGGAUGAGAAACCGAUCAACCGCCAGCUCAACCGGUUUAGGAGCAGGUCGACCUCCAGUUCAAUCAGUCAAGGGUGUGAACAGUAAUUGGUCGAUCGCCAGCUCAAUAGGUCGAUGGGUGCAAAAAACUUUAUCUCUCUUCCAAAAUGGUUGUUCAACUGGAUGAGGAACCAGUCGACCCAUACCUCAACCGGUCGAGGACCAAUUGAAGUCCAAUGGUCACCUACCAAGCAUUAAAUGCUAAUAACUAGUCAACCGGUCGACCCCCAACUCGACUGAUCGAACCCCCAAUGGCUAGUUUGAUUUUUUUUCCUCUAUAAAAAGGCUUCAAAUCUUCAUUGUUCAUGAGUUCAACUUUCCCAAACCUUUCUUGAAUAUAUUUGAGUCUUGGAAGAGUGUUUUGAGUGCACCAUUGUUCUAAAACUUGCAUAUCUUUAGUGCACCAUUCAAUCCUAGUUUUCUUAUAUCAUUUGAGCUUAAAGUUUUUGUACUAGGAUUUUGUAAGAUCAAUUAUUUAUAUAUCUUUGAGAGGAAGAUUCUCAAGUGUAGGGUAUCACUUGAGAGGUUGUUUAAGAGUGGGGUAUCUCUUGAGGAUUAUAAAGGGUGCUUAGAACCAAAAGUCCAAAAUAGUGAAUUGAAACCAUAAUCCAAUUGUAUCGCUUAAAGGCUUGGUUUGGAAGCCUUGAAUUAGUGGAACCUCAAGCUUGGGAUUGAAGCUAGAGAAAAAUGGAUGUAGGCUAGGUUGCACCAAACCACGAUAAAAUCUUGUGUUUGCAUUUUCUCUUCCCUACUUUUUUACUUUAUAUGCAAUUAUAUUUAUAUUGUUUUAUUAUAUACUUGCAUAUAUUUGUCUCUUACAUUCUUAAAAAACAUAAAUCUAUUUUUAAAAACUAUUACCAAGCAAGCUCUUAAUUCAUAUUUUCCACAUUUUAGGGUAAUUAAUUCACUUUCAUUCUCAUUUCUAUCAUAUUCAAAUUCUCUCAUUCCACACUCCAGAGCUUUUUCCAUAAAAGAAGAAUGGUCGUGGGUUUCUCAUUUUUUUUUUUGUAUGAAAUGUAAGAUAUUUCACUUUCAUUUCCAUUUCUAUUACAGUCAAAUUCUCCCAUUCGACACUCCAUAGCUUUUUCCAUGAAAGAAGAACCGUUGUGGCAAGGUUUCUCAUUUCCUUGUAUGAAAAGUAAGAUGAUUUCACUUUCAUUCUUAUUUAUAUCAUAUUCAAAUUCUCUCAUUCCAGACUCUAGAGUUUUUUCCAUGAAAGAAUAAUGGUCGUAAUCAGAUAUUAAAAUAUCGUGUUUCAGUGGACCACGCAGUAGCUCAGCCAACCACUGGAGUAAGCUUACCCCUUGUUAUAUAUACUGUAUCAAAUAUAUAUGGACUAAAACUCAUCAUAUAAACACAAUAUUAAAAUAAUAUUUUAAUGAACAAAUUAAUUAUAAUUAUUUUAUAAUUAAAUGAAAAAAAUCAUUUAAUUGAUUGCCAAAAAUAUAAAAUUAUCAUGAUAAUUUUCUUCAUAGUGUUUUUAAUAUCAUUAAUAUAUUAAUUAAAUAUUAAUAUAUAUCAUUUAUUUUACUCAAUUGUUAUUCACAACACUAUUUUUACUAAUGCAACAUUUUACAUUCCUAAAUUACCCUCCCUUAUUCCUUCCCCCUCUCUCUCCUCUCCCCUCUCUCUUCCCCAACCUCGCAUCCCAAUUGCACCCCUUUUUGAAUUUUUUUUCCCAAUCCCCACCCCACAUUUUAGCAUUUUUUUUCUUUUAUUUUUAUCUUCCUUUUCAUCUCUACAAACCCAACCCCCCAACCCACGUAAACUUCUUUUUUUUCUUUUCAUUUCUUUUAUUUUUUCACACUCAAUUAUUUUUCAUAUUCUUCUUAUAUUUUAAAACAAAAUAAUUUCUUUAAAUAAUAAAUUAUAAAAUGAUUUUAUUAUAUUCAAUGUUUUUUUAAAUUUGCAAAAAUAGACCAUCACCUUAUUCGCCCUCUUCUAGGGUGAUUACCAUAGGUUGGAUUAACCUAAUAUUUUUAAUAAUUUUUAAAAUAUCAAAAUCAAGCCCUAGAUAACUCACCAUUAAAAAAAAUAUUUAAUAAGUUAUAGAAAGUUCCUUUUAAUAUAUUUUUAUGGUAUAUGGUAGAAUUUAAAUAAAAUUAAUUCCAAAUUUUAAAAAAAAAAAAAAAAAUCAUUUAUAAAAGUUAUUAACCAUUAAUAAUUGAUAGUGGUUGGAUUAUACCAAAAAAAAAAAGGUUGUAUUUGUCUUGUCAUUGAUAUUCAUAAUUGAUAAUAUCAUAUAUUAAAAAUUAUUAACCAUUAAUAAUAAAUCAACACUGAUUAUUAAUUAUUUAGACCAUUUUUAUGAAAAAAAAAAUAGUGAAACUUUUAAAUUAAUACACCAAAAAUAGUUUUAGAAGCAUAUAGAGAAGAUUGAGAAUAAAAUUUGAGUUUUGUUGUGUUGUUGUUUUAGUGUUUUAAGUUUUAAAACUUGAGUCAAGUGAUUGUUAUUUGCUUUGUUUGGUUGUUGAGAAAAAUAGAAGAUUGAGAAUGAAACUUGAGUUUCAUGGUUAUUGCUUUGGUGUUUGAAGUUUUGAAACUCGAGAGUUGAAUGGCUGUGCUAGUAUAUAUCCUUUUUUGUAUGGAUUAUAACCAAAGCAUGGUGAACACACUUGUGCACACAUCCAAGAAUAUAUAUAUAUAUAUAUAUAUAUAUAUAUAUAUAUAUAUAUAUAUAUAUAUAUAUAUAUAUAUAUCAAAUUUGAACAACUGAAUAAUGAAAUUGUAUUGACCAUACAAAGAUAAUGAACAAACUAUGUAAAGGGUAUACAAGGCAAAUCAUGGAUUUUGAACAACUAUGCAAGACCGUUACAUUGACUAUAUAGGAUCAAUGAACUAACUAUAUAAAAAGUAUACAAAAUAGGACAUGAAUUUUGAACAACCAUACAACACAAUUGCAUUCACUUUAUAAGGCCAAUGAACUAAUUAUAAAAGCAAUGUAUUGUUUACAACUUAUUUUUAUCCCUCCUCGAAAUACCUCAAAGGUUUAUGACAAUAAAAAGAAAAAAAAAGUGUUAUUUUUCUUUUUCAAAUUUUAAAAAAUCAAAUAAAUAUAAAAAUAGAUUUUUAUUUUUUAAAGAUAAAAUUAAAAAGGGAAGAAAAAUAUGAUAAAUUUAAUUUUUUACCUUCCAAUUAAUUUGUAAAUAUUUUUAAAAAAAAAGGGAAAAUUCNNNNNNNNNNNNNNNNNNNNNNNNNNNNNNNNNNNNNNNNNNNNNNNNNNNNNNNNNNNNNNNNNNNNNNNNNNNNNNNNNNNNNNNNNNNNNNNNNNNNCCUCUACUCUCCUCUCCCCUCUCUCUUCCCCAACCUCGCAUCCCAAUUGCACCCCUUUUUGAAUUUUUUUUCCCAAUCCCCACCCCACAUUUAAGCAUUUUUUUUCUUUUAUUUUUAUCUUCCUUUUCAUCUCUACAAACCCAACCCCCCAACCCACGUAAACUUCUUUUUUUUCUUUUCAUUUCUUUUAUUUUUUCACACUCAAUUAUUUUUCAUAUUCUUCUUAUAUUUUAAAACAAAAUAAUUUCUUUAAAUAAUAAAUUAUAAAAUGAUUUUAUUAUAUUCAAUGUUUUUUUAAAUUUGCAAAAAUAGACCAUCACCUUAUUCGCCCUCUUCUAGGGUGAUUACCAUAGGUUGGAUUAACCUAAUAUUUUUAAUAAUUUUUAAAAUAUCAAAAUCAAGCCCUAGAUAACUCACCAUUAAAAAAAAUAUUUAAUAAGUUAUAGAAAGUUCCUUUUAAUAUAUUUUUAUGGUAUAUGGUAGAAUUUAAAUAAAAUUAAUUCCAAAUUUUUUAAAAAUAAAAAAAAAAUCAUUUAUAAAAGUUAUUAACCAUUAAUAAUUGAUAGUGGUUGUAUUAUACCAAAAAAAAAAAGGUUGUAUUUGUCUUGUCAUUGAUAUUCAUAAUUGAUAAUAUCAUAUAUUAAAAAUUAUUAACCAUUAAUAAUAAAUCAACACUGAUUAUUAAUUAUUUAGACCAUUUUUAUGAAAAAAAAAUAGUGAAACUUUUAAAUUAAUACACCAAAAAUAGUUUUAGAAGCAUAUAGAGAAGAUUGAGAAUAAAAUUUGAGUUUUGUUGUGUUGUUGUUUUAGUGUUUUAAGUUUUAAAACUUGAGUCAAGUGAUUGUUAUUUGCUUUGUUUGGUUGUUGAGAAAAAUAGAAGAUUGAGAAUGAAACUUGAGUUUCAUGGUUAUUGCUUUGGUGUUUGAAGUUUUGAAACUCGAGAGUUGAAUGGCUGUGCUAGUAUAUAUCCUUUUUUGUAUGGAUUAUAACCAAAGCAUGGUGAACACACUUGUGCACACAUCCAAGAAUAUAUAUAUAUAUAUAUAUAUAUAUCAAAUUUGAACAACUGAAUAAUGAAAUUGUAUUGACCAUACAAAGAUAAUGAACAAACUAUGUAAAGGGUAUACAAGGCAAAUCAUGGAUUUUGAACAACUAUGCAAGACCGUUACAUUGACUAUAUAGGAUCAAUGAACUAACUAUAUAAAAAGUAUACAAAAUAGGACAUGAAUUUUGAACAACCAUACAACACAAUUGCAUUCACUUUAUAAGGCCAAUGAACUAAUUAUAAAAGCAAUGUAUUGUUUACAACUUAUUUUUAUCCCUCCUCGAAAUACCUCAAAGGUUUAUGACAAUAAAAAGAAAAAAAAAGUGUUAAUUUUCUUUUUCAAAUUUUAAAAAAUCAAAUAAAUAUAAAAAUAGAUUUUUAUUUUUUAAAGAUAAAAUUAAAAAUGGAAGAAAAAUAUGAUAAAUUUAAUUUUUUACCUUCAAAUUAAUUUGUAAAUAUUUUUAAAAUAAAUAGGAAAAUUCAAAUAUUGCAAUUGAUUUUUAAGAUAAAAUUUGAAAACAAAAAAUAACAAUAACUUUCAUAUAACAUAUAAAAACUUUUAGAUACUUAAACCAAAAAGAUAAUGGUAAUAAAAAAAAAGUUAAAAAAAAAGUGAGGUUUUAAAAUUUAAUCCCAUCUCAAAUUCAAAAAUUUUUAAGGAUAUAAAACAAGCCUAUAUUUUUUAUAUGAAAAUUUUCAUUUUUUUAAGUUAUAAAAAUUAUUCUCAAUUUCUCCUUUUAAAAAUAAUGAACAAGAAAUGUAUUUAAAAAAAACCUUAUAUUGAAAACUUUUUAAAUGCCUAAUAAUUAAAAAAAAAAAAUUCUAAAUUUAAAAAUAAUAAUUUAAGUUUUAAAAUUAUAAAUCGUAUAUGGAACUUCUUCCCAUUAAAUAAUUGCUUACUUAAUUAUCCCCACAUGUGAUUUUCUAAAAACCCAAUUAAGGGUAUUUUGGGCAUUUUUGGCUCACAAAAUAUUGGUACGUCCUUCAUAGUAAUUUGGAGACCUGCUCUACCCCAUCACAACAAUUAUACAAAUUCAUGGUCUUUAGGGUCAUUAUCACCUUCAAGGCUUCAAUCACCCUUCGAUCAUAGCCGGCUGUAGGUGCAAUUUGGUCUCUUCUCAAUUUAUUAAUCACACAGGACAAAGUCCAAAAUCAAAUAUAUUCUAAAAAAUAGGUAGAUUCUUGGCAUGUGUAUCAGGAAUUUUACUUUUCAUAUGGAAAAUUGUGAUUUAUGGAAUGCGUGAUGGACUUUAAAUCCUAAAAAUAAUAAUAAAUAAAUAAUGAAAAAUAAGGCAAUUGUCUGCCUAAUUAUUGAAUGAUAAAAAUAAAAUAUUUUGUCACAUCUAUGGAAAGUUGACUUUGACAAUUACACGAUAGAAUAGGUCAAGCCCACUAGAUUUUCAGGAAAGUAGUAAGUAAAAAAUAAAAUAAAAUAAAUGAUAUUUUAGUAUUUUAUUGAGCAUAUAAAAUAUAAAAUAAAUUCAAAUAUAAUUAAAAUUAAAUUUAUGUAUUUUAAAUUUAUUUAAUUUUUAUAUAGAAGAGUUAAAAUAAAUUAAAUAAAAUUUAAAAAUAUAUAAAAAUAAUUUAUUAAGUUUAAAUUAUUUUUAUUUUUCUUUGCUUUCUUUGACUUCUGUUUUUACUCAUUAUUUUAUUACCAUAAUUUCCUCAAAAUUUUCAAAAUCCAAAUGCUUAUUGAAAUUUAUUAGUACAAACUUUGAAAUUUUGGCUUAUUUAAAUUUGAGUGCAGAAGAGGUCAGUAAUGUAGGGACCCCCCAGGACAUGUGGCACGCACCUCUAUUCGGGUCCCCCAAGGGGGGUAUACGACACUCUCAAAUAUCAUAUCCGGGCGAUGCUUUAUCCUAUCUGGACCUAUUGUCCGGAUCAUUGACUGUAACGAGCAAGUCUUGCUGAGUCAUCCCCGACAGUCUGCCACAACCCACGUUCCGUCGCCUGCAGAGCGAAAGAACAAGAGCGAUGACAAGUCACCUCCCACGAUCUUUGAUGAUGACCCUGCCACCACCUUGAAGACAUCAUGACAAGCCAAAAAGUUUUCCCACCAUUAAAGAGGGGAGCAGAGUUUCUGACAUUAUAUAAAAGGGUCUUCACACAAGGAGGAAGGUAAGCCUGAGAUCCUAAAAAAGCCAAUAGUCUGAUCUCUUAAGCCAUGACUAACAAAACCAUCGGAGGGUGUGUCCGGACAUCUUUUGCAGGAUCGACUGAGCCAGAACUCCUUCUUGGUUGAUAGCACGCGUCCACUUGGCAGCAGCAGGGAUCCCUGGGACACGAGGCAUCAACAAGUAAUGGCUCCUAAUACAUGGAAUAUGCAUAUCCCACCAUUUUUUAUCCUUCAAAUUCUUAUAUUAACACUUUCACGGUUCUUAAUUUUUAGCUUUUCUAUGUCUUAUAUGGGUAUAUUAGGCUAUGUAGUUUAAGAUCGACAAUUUUGUUCUAUUCAUUUUAGCUUAAAAGUGUCCAAUAAUAUGCUCUAUAUUAAACCUCUCUCAUGUUAGUAGCUUCAACAACAGUGAGUCAAGUCCGGGGGACAUGAUAGACAAACCCAUAUGACUAGUUCACAUUAUCAGGUCCUCUUGUACUAUAAUUAUGAAUGAAAAAAUAGACGUUUCUAGAAAUUCAUGGGGCUUAGUUCACUGGAAGUUCUUAUUUUUCUUGAGUCCAGAUAAAGAAAGAUUUGAUAUCUAGAAAUUCAAAAUCUUCUUGUCUUCACGCUUUCUGAUCAAAGCAAGUACUAAUAAAGAAAACAAUCAGAGCAUGACAGAUGUUGAACUUAAUAUUGUCUAGAUUCACCGAGUCGAUGAGGUUUUGAGCUUGAAAGAGUGAGUUCAAAUCCACAUGUCUGGAAAUUUGGAAGGCAGUGAUUCUACAAUUCAAAGUCCUAUAUCCACAUGUCUGAAUCUGAUCAGCAGGAUACCAAUGAAUGAGCACCAAGUUUAAGUAACUACUUUUCUUCAUGGGUCAAGCAUGGAACUUAGAAAUACCUCUGAACUUUCUGAAGAAGGCCAAAACUUCCCUUUUUGCUAGCUCAAGUCUAAAUUUAAGAGUGUUGCAAACCCUGCUCCUGAUACACGCUUGUUGGUUUUGAAAACAUACUAUUUUCAUGUUGUUACCGUGUCUUAAUGUCUUCAGCCACUUAAAGCAGAGACUGAAAGUGGAGCACCAUACUAGUAAGCAGGCAAUCAAGAUGAAAGAAUUGCUUAAGGUUACAUUAUUGUCAUGAAUUUAAGUUACAUAAAAUUGGGAGAAAACAAAAUACAAGAAUUUAACUAGUAUUAUCUGCUCAUUGCAGAGCUUUGGAUACUCUCUAACAGCCUAUACAUAGAACAAAACCAUUUUGUUCAUCUUACAACCAAAUGUUGAACUGAGAAUGUUACAUAUACAUUAACCAACCAUCUUUGAAGAACUCGUGCUUUUACCGCCUUUGGAAGUUAAAUGCCUUAAUGGCAAAGGCAAAGAUAAAUAAGAAAAGUACUGUAAACCCAACAAUCACAGCUGCAACCACUCCUAGAAAAUCAUGUUCGAAUCCAAAAUAGUCAUUCAAGUAUUGUUCCACUGUGUCACCUGUGUCCUCAAAUCUGUCCUGUAUAUCUCCAAACUGUGAUGUAACCAAUCCAUACAAAGUCCAUGCAACUGGACAUGCCCAAUAGUACCAUCUCCACCACACAGGAAUCCUCUGUAUUCAUCAUGGAAGAAAUGCAACAAAAUGAGUCAUUUCCAUAUCCAUGUGCUAAAGAUAGUUGCAAUUUAGAGAAUAAUGAGUUGAGAGAACUUACUGUUCGAGGAACUAUAAAACCUGAAAAUAGGUUCCAUAAUCCAUAAAAUGCUGCAGCAACGAUGGCAGCAAUAUGUUGAUUUGGUGUGGCAGCCACAGCCAUCAUGCCAUAAAAGGUGAAGUACAGUAAGGUGAAGAACAUGAAGAACAGAUACCAGAAGAACUUAGCAGCUGUCCAUUCAAAUCCAAUCAUUGCAUAAACUAUAACACCAUACACCACAGCUUGUGCAAAGACAUAUGGUAUCUCAACUAGAGCCUGAAACAAGAGAUGAAAUUUGAUUAAUAAAACCCAUAAAGUGUUAGAGAUAGACAGUCCAUAGCAUAAGAAAACUAGUUACCUGUGCAAAGGCAUAUGGCAUAGCUGAAUACAUUCCUGCAGCUCUUUCUCUGUAAAAGACUGUCCGUUCAACUGCAACGACUGGCUGCACCGAUGAGGAAUUUUGAACCCCAAGGAAGAGAACAGCAGCAUACAUAGAACCCAUUGCAUUACUCAAAUCUUGUUGUUUUUUCCUGAAUUUUACCAUGUGAAGUAUGAAUUAAAGUUGAUACAGAGAAACAUACUGAGUUCUCAAAAUCCUGUACUGGGUUCAAAUUACCUUUUGGUGCCGAGAUCCCAGAACAUUGUCCCAAAUAUCAAGGCUAUGAAAGUUGUGAAGAAAAAUCUCACUGCCGUGUAUGGUGGAUUGCGCCAAUAUGACCUACGCUGUUUCCAUAAGCAUGCCAUACAUUGGGUGAAGAAGGACUGGGAGUAUUGAGUAGGGAAAUAGAGGUCCUUUGAACCAGGGGCAGGUUGGCUCAAUUCUUUAAUUAAAUCUUUGUUUCUCCUGAAACAUAUGCCACAUCAGAAAAGGCUUCAAUAACCAAUUCAAGCUUGCAUGAUGAACAUUGAGAUGUGUAUACAUGACAUUUCAAUAUCAUAAUGCUUUCAGAUAACCUAUAGUUGAAUCACCUGUAUAGGUCCGAAUUUUUGUAUAUUUCAGUGAAAUCCACCCCCAACAAGAAUUCUUGUGCCGAAGAGGUAACUUCCAGCAUCCAAGUUGCAGGGUUAUAACCAUCUUUGAUUUUACUCACUCCUUCAAUUCCCUUAAUGAUAGCAAGUCACAUGUAUUAGUAAGCACUUGAUAUGAAUUAACUCAAACUAAAUUAUUUGCUGCUUAUAGCUUUUACUUUAUCAUGGCAGCUUACCUGAAAAUACUUUAUCAGAUGAGAAGAAUGUCUACCCAGUGGUCCCACAUAUAUCUCUUGUCCUCCUCGCUUCAACAGGAGCAACUGCAAAUCCAUUUUAAAUAUUUCAGUACUUAUAUGCAAAGCUCAUAGAAGGGAAACUAUAAAUUCUUUCUAUCCAUUAACAUUUCCCACCUCAUCAAAGGCUUCAAAGAUGUCAAUACUUGGCUGAUGGAUGGUGCACACAACUGUUCUUCCUGUGUCCACUGUGUUCCUGACUGUUCUCAUAACAAUUGCAGCAGCUCUUGCAUCUAGCCCUGAAGUUGGCUCAUCCAUGAAUAUUAUUGAGGGAUUUGCCACAAGCUCAACUGCAAUGGUCAGCCUCUUGCGCUGCUCUGUUGAGAGACCAUUUACACCUGGCAACCCAACUAGUGAAUCCUUCAAUGGGGUCAGUUCCACGAGCUCCAUGACUUCCUCAAUGAACAUCUGUAACCAUUAGCAAGGAUUAGAAAUUGUUUAAAAAAACAAUGCAAAGCCAUAGCAGAGAUGGUAAAAAAAUUGACACUGCUUGUGACUCUUUUCAGUUAGCAGGUUGUGAACAAGUUUCUCUAGUCUUAUUAAACAGAUCAGUUCAUGGUUGCCAAUGCUCAAUAACACCUAUUAGCAUGCAUGAACUUCACCAACUUGUAUUCCAGGUCAACCAAAUUUGAACCAGCACCUUUCCCCAGGGUGAAGGUCAAGCCAAAUUUGAACCUGAUCUAAGCUCAACCAAGUUUGAAAAAUCAAUUCUAGGGCUUUACUUGUUCAGAGCACUCAAUUGAAUAAGACAAAUGUGGAAAGAACUCAGGAAGCCCUCACCUUUCUAGUUUUAGAAUCCACAUCAGCAGGCAACCUCAGCCAAGCAGAGUAGAGCAAGGACUCAUGGAUAGUAACAUGAGGAGAGUGGAUGUCAUUCUGCUCACAGUAUCCAGAAAUUCGAGCAAAAGUCUCUUGCUUCUUUGGGUAGCCAGAAAUGUUGAUGUUACCCUCAAUAUAUCCACCAGUUUUCCGACCAGCCAGUACAUCCAUGAGAGUGGUUUUACCAGCACCGCUAACACCCAUCAGAGCUGUAAGAACACCAGGCCUGAAAGCACCACUCACCCCCUUUAGAAGCUCCAAUCUGUCUUCAAGGACACCCUGACUUUUCAUUUCCUACAAAUUCAAUUCAAACAACUUAGUUCUCAUUUUUGGUUUAUUAGUGCUGCUAAAGCAUGUACAUUAUUUGCAUUAACAUGGAGUUACCUCUGGCAUGUCAACUGAGUAUCUAAUAUCAUCAAAGGUGAUAGAAAGUGGUUGGAAUGGAAGAACCAUUCCUUUUUUGUUGUUACGUCUAGCCUCAGCAAUGGCUUCUGCCCUCACAGAUGAGGAUGUGGAUGAGAUGCUUCUCCCAAUUUCGUCUCUCCUCUCUGCAUGUUAAGUUUAAAAUUAGUGAGCCAUGUAAAACAUGUGGUUAAAUGACAAGAACAAAGGCACACAUGCACCAUGAAUGAGUUUCAUCACCUGUGGAUGCAGUUUGGUCAAUCGAGCCUCGUCUAUGGGAUGAUAACUCGAUCUUCCCUCCAGUUUUGGAAUUCUCAGACUCUUCUGUUAUAACAGCUUGAGGCUUCUCAAAUGCUGCACAAUUUGCACAAAUCUUAGUACACUAAUCUCCAAUAUUUUAGGAUUUUCAACACAGAGAAUGUAAGGAUACCCACCAUUUAGGUAAGUGAGAGCCACAGUGUAACAGAAGUUGAAGACUAAAAUGAAUCCAAGCAGUGCCCCAGCUCCUAUCCAGUACCAGUAUGCCUCUGUGAAGAACCCGCGAGACUUCAAUACUGCUACUCCAAGGGAUUCUGUUGAAUCGGUUGAAGAAUUCUGAAAAAUGGAAAUACAUUCAAUCAUCAGUUACUGACACAAAUAAACACAAAUAUUCACAUGAAACAUUCAUAAACUUACUUUGCUCCAACUCUUCCCAAGGAAUUCAUUUACCACUAUUGCGUUCUGUGCAUACAUCAGAGGGGAAGACCAGUAACCCCAAAUCCACCAUUUCUUGACAUUUUCUACAGCAAUGACCAAAUACAAGAAGGAAACAAAAAUUCAUUAUUAGGGUUUAUGAACAAGAAGGUCCUAGUUUCCUAAAAAAAAUCUUUCCUCCUUAUACCUCGUGACAGGACAAAACCACCCAAUGCAAAGAGCAAAAGUAAUGAAAAUGACCCAAAUGUGUUUGCAACAAUCAUGUUUCUACCAGCUGCUGCAAUAAAUCGAAACAAUGCAGAUGCCAUCUGAUUAACAAGCACGAGGAGAAGAUAUUGUUUAAACAACCUGCAAUAAGAAGAUUUGUUUAUUAGCAUUGAUCAUUUUGGAACAAAGAAAACAUUUGAAACAAAUCUGGACAUGUUUCUUUUACCUUCCCACAUUUGGAUCAAAUCCAAUGACAUAAUAAGACAUGAACACCCAAACAGCAACUUCAACAAAUGUGAUGGGGAUCUUGAGGAUCCAUGAGGGGAGUGCAUACGCCCAUGCAGGGUAGAAUAGUAGGCCUCUUUGCUUGUAAAAGACAGGAAGUUUUGCAAUGGUCAUGGCAAGUUCUGACAUUCCAUUAAACAUGAUCAUGACAACAGUGAAGAACAAAGCACCCGUGUAAAUGCUUCCAUCAUCUGUUGAAUUUUUGUGCAUCUCAGUUCUUAGGAAGAUUGUCAUGGAAAUUGCUGCCAUUAUUAUGAGCUAAAAGAAGAAACAAAAAUAAUAAAUUACGAUCAAAUGUACAAAAUUGAAAGCCAUUGUUAUAAGUAACAACAAUAAUAAUACUCACUUGGGUGAGCUUGAAAAUAUAGACAAAUGAAUUCCUCUUCAUCAGCAAGUACUCUCUUGAGAUGCAAGCAUCCAACAGUUCCUUCUUUCUAACACCAUAUUUUUCAGUUUUCAAAGCAGCUGGGUGGCUUUUGGUCUUGUCGAAUGGAGUUGCAAGCUCAUGUCCUAGUUUCCGUCCAAUGUGAAAUGACUGGAAUGCCUCGGCAAAUUCCUUGACUGUGACAAAACUGUAAGGCUCAUCUUUACGUGCCCAAUACUGCUGCUGAUCUUUCCUAGAUGUUACCUGUAAUGAAUUUUAAAAUUCAUGUUCUAGCUUGAUUUUUUCUAAAGAAGGAAAAAAAAAUUGAGAAGAUGCCUAAAGGUACAAAACUAUUAGCACUCACUUCUUGUAGGAAGUCUGCCACACCCUUCCUUUCAGGACAUCUGAAGCCCAUGGAUUCAAAAAAGUCAAGAACGUCUUCACGAGGACCCUGAUAAACAAUCUGGCUAUCAGAGAGGAGAAUGAUGUCAUCAAAAAGAUCGUAAGUCUCAGGUGCUGGCUGGAGGAGAGAGAUGAGAGCAGUCCCAUUGAGAAUGUGGAUGGUUUGCCUGAGAGAAUUCACGAUUUGAUAAGUUGUCGAGCUAUCCAACCCAGUAGAGAUCUCAUCCAUGAACAGUGCCUUCGAUGGUCCAACCAGCAUCUCCCCUGUCAUUCAUAUAUUUCACAGUUGAAUUAACUUAAAUUAAUGAACGAAAAAAUCUAAUUUAUUUUAUUUGGUUGGAAACCAAAUUAUCCUACCAGUUGUGACACGCUUCCGUUGUCCUCCAGAGAUACCCCUUAUCAUUUGAUCUCCUACCAAGGUGUCUGCACAGACUUCUAGUCCCAGAAUCUGUAAAUUUAAGUGUAAAUGAAAAUAAACAAAUUAUGACUUAGAAUUGGGUUUUCUCAGAAAUCUGCAUUCCAUCAUUGAAAGUUCUAUGGUUAUGAUACCUUCAGUGUAUAGUCAGUGAUUACAUUCUCCUUCUGGCCUUCCGUUGCCACUGCCUGAAAUAUUAAAAACCAAUAAUGUAAAUCUCACUCACCAUCAAACCAAUAAGUACCUUAAGAAAUUCCAAGGAUAAGAGAUUUUGCUCUGCAGAACUGGUUAAAAUUUCACUCAAAGUAGCUUCUGUCUCACCUUCAUGAAGACAUCGAUAUCAGGAUCAGGCUUAAUAUUUGCUGCCUUCUCUCUUCUUGAGAGCUCUGCUAACAUGUCUGCGAAUAGCCAAAUAAAAGUCAACCUCCUGGCUUAUGCAAAUUUCAUAUAACUAAAUUCACAAGCUUCAAAAACAAAGAAAAUAAAAGUAAAAGGCAAUGAAUGGUUUAGACCAACCAUAUCGAUCUCCAACACCCUGGCAUCUUGCAGAGAAGGCCAAGGUUUCCCGUACAGUCAUUUCUCCUAUAUGGGUAUCAUGUUGGCUGAUGUAGGUUGCAGUUCUCUGGGGUACAAAUUCAUUCAUGCCAUGACCAUUGUAUGUCACCUUUCCCGUAACCUAAAAGCAGGAAUUUCAGUUUCCAAAUUGGAUAUGAGAUUAAACAGCUAAAAAUUGAAUAUUCAUUAAAGAACAAAAGCAAUAAUUUUUUUUUCAUUCAACCUUUAGACUGGAAUCAAGCUUUCCGGACAAAGCCAAUAAGAGAGUGGUCUUUCCAGAACUUGGAGGACCCAAAAGCAAUGUCAUUCUGCAGAAAAAAAAUAUGCACAAAAGAUUGAGUAUGGAUCUUCAGGAUAUUCUAAAUUGGAGAAAGUAAAAAAAUCCAUUUGAUAGAUAUAUAUAUAUAUAUAUAUAUAUAUAUAUAUAUCUCAAUUAAUUUUUUUACAGAAAAAAAAAGAAAAAAAAUCAUAUUCUCACCUUCGAGGUUUGAUGAUUCCACUAACAUCGUGAAGAAUAGUGAGUUUCUUCUUUCUACUCGGAAGAAUCCGAAGAGUGUUCAAGAUAUCCUUUAAAACAGAAAGAAAAAUUAUAAUCUAAAAACAAACUUUCCCAAGAGAGUAUUUAUUGCUUAGCUAGUGAUCUGUAUUUGCAUUUUAGUUACCUCAAUUUGAUUAAAAGCAGAAUAAAUGAAUGAAGGCAAAGCUCUGCUUCCUACAUGAGCUUCUGCAUCAAUGGUAAGAUGCUCAAAUCUAACUUCAAUUUCGGGAAGAUCAAUCCCAACUCUGAAAAAUGAAAUAGACAUGCAAACCCAUUACUAAAAAGUCAAAGGAAGAUGUUUGGUUGUGAAGAAAAUGCAGGACUAUCAGUCACAUUUAAGGUGGAUUCUUUCUUUUCCACUGUUUUCAAUGUUAAAAAAGAAAAAGAAAAACGGCAAGAAAGGCAAGAGAAGAGGAGAAAUCGCACCUAUCUAUGCGAUUCCUGAGCUUCAACAAGAACUUCUCAUUGUCCUCUUCGGCAAUUUUCACCAACCGCUCCACUAAAUUCUUCUUUUCCUGAAACCCAAGGUUGUGUAUAUCAACUUCACUGGCCUCACCCGCCGAACCCAUCAGCAAGCCUUUCCUCAUCCGAUUGUAGGUGGGAAGUUUCUCGAGGGCGGCCCAUUUCAAAGCUUCCUCAUCAUCUUCAUCCCUCGAAGAACGGGAGAAAACCUCCUCACCAGAGUUCCUCCAUAUGGAAGAACUGUCCUUCCUUAAACUACCACCGGCUCUAUAAAUUUCACCUGUUGCCAUUGCAACACGAAACGAGGAACCCUCCUGCAAAACCCACCAAAACCCAGAAACCUUUCCUACAAAUUAGGGAGAACAAACCCAAAUUUUGAACUCUAGAGCUGAAAAGCUCAAAAUAAGAGAUGGUUCCCCUCCCGCUUUUCCCUGUGCAUGCAAUUGAUUCCGUCUCUUUGUAUUGCUAAAACUUUGUUGUAUGUUGGAAAAACACGAAGAAUGGAAGGUUUAUAUACUGAUUGGAAGAACAGAAAAAUGAGGCCACCCAUAAUUUUCAAGACUACUAAACGUCUUCGUAAUCGCAAUCGUAACUGCUGUUGUAUGCAAAUGCCACGAUGUUUGACCCUUCAAAGUCUUAUUUCACAAUUCGUAAUUUUCAGAUUUCCAGUACCUUGUUUGUCAAGGAACUCAAUAAUCAUUAAAUGUUUCCCAACUGCCAAACCAACUAACUUUCCCGCCCGCCGAAAUUGCACUGUGAAAGAUUUAUAGCAUUUUAUUUAUACUCUAGUUUAAUGACAUGAGACUUUCGGUUUGGAUUGCCUAUAUUAUUUUUAGUAAUUUACCUUAUAUCUUUAAAAUUAUUUCAAAAAAAAAACCCAUAAUAUUAAUUAUUAUAUAAGUUGGAUUUAUUAAAUAUUAAAUAACAUAUAAAUUAAUAUUAAUCAUAAAUUCCCAUAAUAUUAAUAAUUACAAAAGAGUACAUUUAUCAAAAAUUAAAUAAUAUAUAAAUUAAUAUAAUUGUAUAAUCAAUUCUAAAUUACACAUUAUUUAAUUAAAUCUAAAAAUAUUUUUAAAAUAUCAAAAUCAAGCCCUAAAUAACUCACCACUUUUUAAAAAAUAUUUAAUAAAAUAUCAAUUAUUUAUCUUCUUAUUAUUUUUUUAUGAUAUAUAGUAGAAUUUAAAGUGAAAUUUUAAAUUAACACACCAAAAAUUGUUUUAGAAGGAAAAAAAAUAUUUUUUUCUGAUAAUAUUUUUUAAAAUAUAUAUAUUUUUAGUCUAAAAUAUUUUUAAAGAAAAAAUCAACCUUUUGAUCAAAUUUUAAAAUAUUAUUAAAAAAUAAAAAUUAUUUAUAAUAUUAAAAAAAUUCAAAAAAAAUAUUUUAAUAAAAACAUUUUAAGUAGAAAUACUAUUUCGUAAGAUACAAGAUAAGAAUCGCACAUAAAAGCAUUAUAAAUUAUUAGAAUCGCAUCGCAUAAAUCAUACUAAAUCUAACAACUAACCAAACUCAUCCUCUCUAAAUUUCAAUUUGGUCUCUUCUCAAUUUAUUUUUGGAUUGCUUUUCAUCUAGAAAUAGCAACCACAUAAAGCAUAGGCCAAAUACUCUAAAAAUAGGUAGAUUUCUCAUUUCUCACAUGUAGCAUCUAGAAAAAAAAACCGGUAGGGUUGGCAGAAAUAUAGGAACCACAUAAAGCAUAGGACAGAUGUUAUAAAGAUAGGCAGAUUUCUCACAUGUUAGCAUCUAGAAAAAAAAACGGGUAUGGGCUGGCAGAAAUAUAGGAAGGUGGUGGUGUGUAACCAAGACUUUCAUUAUCCAAAUUCACAUUCUUAUGGGAAAAACGUGAUUGACUUCGACACUUGAAAAAAAAAAAACAAUGGAAAGAAAAAGGGAAAUCAUCUACCCAAAUACUUGAAUGAUGAAAUCAAAUCUUUGAUCAUAUCUGCUAGUUUGGAAAGUUCAGUUUGACAACUACAUUGAAGAAGAAAAAAAAAAUUAAAACAUUACAGGUUGUUUGUGAUUUAAAAAUAAUUUUUAAUUUUUUAAGAUUUUUAAUAUUAUUUUUGUCAUUAUUUUUCGAAAAUAAUAAUAAUUUUUAAAAAAUAAGAGUUAUUUUUAUCGAUUUUUAAAAAUAAAAAAAAAAUAUAGAUCUGUUUGAUCAUAUUUUCUUAAACUUAUUUUUAAAUUGAUUAAAAUAAAAAAAUAAAAAAAAUAUUAAAAAUACAUAUAAAAAUGGUUUAUUAAUUUAAAAUAUUUUUUAUUUUUUAUCUUCUAUUUUUUCUCAUUAUUUCAUUUUCAUUUUCCACUUCAAAAUUUUCAAUAUUCAACUAUUGAAUUCCGUACACUUUUUUUUUUAAUGAAAAAGAUGAGUUUUGACUUUUGACACUUUUUCAAAAAAGAUGCGUUUUGAUCCCUUCCCUAUAAUAAUAAAAAAAGAAAUAGUAAAUUUAUUGACGUCACUCCAUGCAUCAUCUUCCUUAAAAGUACAAAUCGUCCUCCUCUUCUUCUCUUACUAUGUUUUUUUUUUGUUUUCAAUUUAUUUAAAGAAAAAAAAAAAUCUUUGGUGUCCGGUGGAAUCAAUCGAAUGAACGAGUGGCUUCUAUUAUUACAAAUUUGAAAAUUUGGCUUAUUUUAUUUUUAAAUAUAGAAAAAAGGCUACAUGAUAACUCCAUAAUAUAUGGAACAUGCAUAUGCCACCCUUUUUGACCCUUCAAAUUCUUAUGUUCUCCGUUCAUAAUUUUCACGUGUGUUCAAGGAAGUAGGCAAGCCUACGUUAAACAAUAAAAAAGAUGUUUUAAAUUUUACCAAAAAAAAAAAAAGUCAAAGGAUUUUUUCAAAAGAAUCUUAAGAAGUAAUUGGACAUCUCAAUAAGAAAUUUUUAAAACUAUAAAUGUAAAAUAUUUUGUUGGCAUUUUAUUUAUAAUUUAAUAAACGUUUUCAAACUUUGGGUUUUUGGAUUACAUGUUUGGAUUAGUAAUUGAAAUGUUGGGAAAUAUCAACGAGGUUCGCCAUGAAUAUGGGAUCAAAAGUCAAUAAACGAUGUUUCAUUAGUUAAGGUUGCUGGCUCUCUUGGUCAAACUCCCUAAAAAAAGUUUAAGUUCCAAAAGGUUUGGGUUGAAGCUUGGCUACCACUAGGGUGAAUUCAAUUAAUAUAUGUGCACAAGUAUAUAUUAAAAUCCAUUAUUAAAAAAAUAUUUUAAUAAAUAAAUUAAUUCUACUUAUUUUAUUUAAUUGAUUACUAAAAUAUAAAAACCAUCAUUAUAAUUUUUUAACAAGACUUUUUUUUAUAUCAUUUAUGUGAUAAUUAAAUAUUAAAAAUAUAAAUAGGAUAAAAAAAUGCAUAUAAUUUUGAAUGUUUUUAUUUUAAAAUAUUGAAAAUAUAAAUUUAUUUGAAAAUUGUUAAAAUAUAAUAAUAAUAAUAAUAAUAAUAAUGAAGUUCUAAUAUUUUAUAAAUUAAAAUUAAUUUAAUAAGAUAAAUUAUUAAUAUAAUUUUAAUUAUUUAAAUAAAUCAAUGUCAAUAGCAAAAAGUUGUCACCAUAAGUAAUAAAAUUUUAAAAAUUAAAACUCAAAUAAAAUAUUUUAUAUAAGUCUUAAAAUGUAGUUAAUUUUUUUUAUUUGAAAUGUAAUAAAAUUUUUAAUUUUUAAAAUAAAUGAAUAUAAAUAUAUUAAAGGAAUUUGAGAUCAUUUUUUCUAUAAAAAAAUUUGAUAAAUAUUGUCCUUGACCAUACCUAUGUUAGUUACACCUACAAAAUAACUUUAACAUAUGUUUUUUUACUUAUUUUAUCAUUUAAAACUUUUUUAAAUAUUUUCAUGAAUUUUGAACAAUUUUCGUCUUAUCGAUAUUUCUGAUAUAUCCAUAAAAUUCAAAUACUGAUAUAUUCGUAAAAUCCAAUUAUUGAUAUAUAUAUACAUGUUUAUAGAUAUUUUCAUCUUUGCUUUGGAUGCAUUUUUCUAUUUUUUGUUUUUAAAUAGAAUACUUUAAAUGUAGAGAAAAAUAUAGGAAUUCUUAUAUAAAAAGUAGGUACAUAUCUUGUAUACAUAAAAACACUUUUUAAAUUUUAAAUAAGUAAACAUUUUCACUUCCAAAAAAUUUUAAAGUUUUGAAAAAAAAAUUAAAAUAUAAAGUAAAUUUGGACUUUUUGUAUAAGAGUUGUUAUAUUUUAUAUAGAAAUUUUUAUUUUUAAAAAUAAAAAAUAAGAAGUGUAUCUAAUAGCUAGACACCUAAAGUAUUUUUUUUACAAUUUUAUUUAUACUCUAAUCUAAUGUUUAUAGAUUGAGUUUGUAUUCAAGUUUAUAUUAUGAUCGAUAUAUUAAGGGAUGAAGCUAAAGUAACUACCGAAAUGUUAUUUAGGUGAGAAAUUAUAAAAAUUAUGAUUGUAAUAAAUAUUUGAUAAAUUUUCAUAAUUUAAAAAGUAGUUAACAAUACCCCUCAUUAUUAUUAAACAAAAUAAAAAACAAUGGACAUUAAUUAUAAAAAGAAAAAGAAAAUAUAUCUUAUAUCAAAUUGAAUAAGAAAAAUAUUAAAUACAUUGGUCAAGAAUAUUUUAGAUUUUAUAAAUAAAAAAAAUCAAAAAAUUAAAAGAUUUUUUCUUCAAAAGAAAUUUAAAAAAAAAAAAGUUAAACAUUUCAAUAAGAAACUUCUAAUAAUUUUGUUUUAUUAAAAAAAUCCUAAAAAUAAAUUUUUAAAAAAAUCAAUAAUUCCACUUAUAAAUUUCUUCUCUUUUUCAAAUAGCUAAAGAUAAUUGACUGAGGAAACCUUUCUAAAAAUAUAGUUUGGUGAACUCCACAAGUAAACUAUGAAUAACUAAGAAGAGUUUCGGAGUUAUUGUUUGUAAUUUAUAAAUAUCAUAUUAAGUUAUACAAUUUUUAUAAUUAAAGUUAAAUUCAAUAUCUCGUAAUUUGAGUCAUUACAUAAGAUUGAAUUUAUCAAAUAUUAGAUAACAUAUAAAUUAAUAUUAAUCAUAAAUUCCCAUAAUAUGAAUCAUUACAUAAGAUUACAUCUAUCAAAAAUUAAAUAACAUAUAAAUUCAUACAAUUUUGUUGGCAAUUCUAAAUUAGUGAUUAUUUGAUUAAAUCUCAAAAAAAAAAAUUAAAAAGUCAAAAUCUAGCUAUAAAAAAUUCGCCACUGAAAAAAUUUAAUAAAAUAUUGUUAAAAUAACGAGAAUAGGUAAUUUAAAAAAAACACUAACAGACAAAAAACACAUAAAUUUACGUGAAAAACUCUAAAUGAGAAAAAACACAAGUAGAAAAGACAGAAAUCCAUUAUAUCAAAAUAUUGGUAUAAGAGGGAAAAGUUGCCAGCAAUUACAGAAGAAACAUAAUUAUCCUAAUCCUAAAACUAUACAUCAUCAUAAUCCUCCCAAAAAUCUCAUAAUUAUAGUUUCACUACAUAUGUUGUACCACAAGGUUUUUGAAUCGGAUUAAAUAGAAUUCGGAUUACCAAAUUCUAAUAAAUGUCAACGAUAAAGUUACAAAAAAUUUAUUUAUUAUAAAUUUUAUGGUAUAUAGUGGGAUUUAAAUAAAAUUAAUUAUAUAAAUUUUCAAUAAAAUUAAAUAAAAACAAAUAAAUCAUCGAUAAAACCUAUAUACAUUCAUAUUUAUUUACUUAUUUUUUUUAUUUUGAUCUUCAACAAGUUUUCAAAAAUAAAACAUUCAUUUUUUCAAAUAGAGUUCAAGUGUGACCAUGAUGCAUAUCACCUUUAUGAGAAUUGCAGGCCCACACUCAAAAUUUUAAAUAAAUAUUUUUAAAUAAUAAUAAUAAUAAUAACAACAAAAAGAAUAAUAAUUAAAUAAAUAAAUAUGAAAUGGGAAUUUCGGAAAAUUAUUCUAAAAUGAAAGUUUUAAAAUUAUUUGAGAAAUGGAAUUAUGAAAGGAGUUUUGGAAAAUUGGAGUUAGGAAAAUUGUUAAAAUAAUAAGAAAAUAAAUAAAAAGUCAAAAUCUUAAUGGGGCCAUGUGCCAAAGUGACCACACUUAGAGGUGGGCCAAGGUCGAAAAAGGUUUUCAAAUGAUGUUUGAACAUCCUGGCAGCCCAAAGAAAAAUAAAACAAAAUCUUGCAACGUGCACAUCCAUGAAUUUACAUCUGUGGCCCCACCAUUCAAUAUCACCGCCAAACCAGAAGAAAACCCACAAGUCCGCAGGCCGUCCUAUGCCAUCAGCAAUAAGCACAAGCUCUGAUUUCUCAAAUUACAAAAUAGCCCCACGGAAAGAAAUUCAAUUUCGAAUCUCCACCAAAAACUCCAAUAAUUGCCUAUCGACUUCACCCAAACUGCAAAACACUAAGGCUAUGUUUGAUUUCCGGAAAGUACGAAGGAAAGAAAAAAAAUGCUAAAGAAAAUGAUUUUCUCAUAUUUGAUUAUCCUAUGAAAAAUAUCAAAGAAAAUAAAAUAUAAUUAAAAUUAAUUAAAAAUUUAUAUAUUUUUAAAUUAUUUAAUCUUUAUAUUGAUGAGUUAAAAUAAAUAAAAUGAGUUUGAAGUAACAAAAAAAUAAUUUAUCAACUUUUAAUCUAUUUUUUUAUUUUUCUUCACUUUUUCUUUCCUUCUAGUUUUCCUUUGUAUUUUCUUUCCCUCGUAUUUUCCCUCAAAUUUUCCGGGAACCAAACAUAGCCUAAUAAUUCAACCACCCUCCAGACCACGCGUAGACGCUCCACUUCCACAUAUUUUGGCACGUAUUCUGUCAAGAUUAUUGGAUGCUGCCCAUGAGGCCUGUUAAUUAGUCGAAUGGUUCUCAACCGAGCCUAAAGCUUUGUCGAGUCAUAACCAGCUUCCCCGUGUUGUUGGCUCUCAGUGAGGGAUACUUCGGACUGAAGACCUCUCUACCAUAUCUCUCAUAAUGUAUCAUGGGCAGAGAAGCAAUGGAGAUUGGAUUGAUUCUUCUUGCUUUCAGGAGCUCUAUUAACUCCAAUUCCAACUUAACUGGAAAUUCCGAACCAAUAAGAGUUAUGGGACCCGUACCCACACCGGAAUUUUCUACUAUCGUCUCCGGAUAACACGCCACCGCAUGGGUCAAUCAGGUUCGUUUUGUAUGCUGUCACUGUAAAUACUCUGAAUAAUCCCCCAAAAAUCUCAUAAUUAUAGUUUCACUACAUAUGUCAUACCGCAAACUUUUUGAAUCGUACUAAAUAAAAUUCGGAUCACUAAAUUCUAAUAAAUGUGACAAAGUUACAAAAAGUUUAUUUAUUAUAAUUUUUAUGGUUUAAGUGGGAUUUAAAUAAAAUUAAUUUAAAAUUUUUCAAUAAAAUUAAAUAAAAACAAAAUAAAUCAUCGAUAAAAACUAUAUACAUUCAUAUUUAUUUACUUUUUUUUUUAUUUUGAUCUUCAACAAGUUUUCAAAAAUAAAACAUUCAUUUUUUCAAGGGAGAAUUAUCUUUUGGGGGUAGAUGGGCCCUCAAAUUAACAAAAGGUUCAUAUAACUCUUGAAAUUGAGUUGAAGGAUAUGAAAUAAUAACGGACAAAUAUACCCUUUAGGAACACAUAUAAAAUAUUUUAUAAAAUUAAGUUAAAUAAUUUUUUUUCAAUAACUUUUUUUUUUUCAAAAAUACUAAAUUAAAUAAAAGUAGUUUUCAAAAAUAUUAAAUUAAAUAAUUUUUUUUUUCAAAAAUAUUAAAUUAUUUUUUUUUCAAAAAUAUUAAAUUAAAUUAAAGUAUUUAAAAAAAUAUUAAAUUAAAUAUUUUUUUAAAUAUUAAAUUAAAUAAAUUUAUUUUUAAAAAAUAUUAAAUUAAAUAAAAGUAUUUUAAAAAAUAUUAAAUUAAAUCAAAAAUAUUAAAUUAAAUAAAAGUAUUUUUCAAAAAUAUUAAUUUUUUUCUCAAAAUCAACAAAGGGUAUUUUUGGAAAUAUUGAAAGAUGAUAUCCUUCAACUCAAUUUCUAUACUUUCAUUGGGUCUUGGGCUCAAUUUGAAGAGUUACAUGGACCUUUUGUUAAUUUGGGGGUCCAUCUACCCCCAAAACAUAAUUCUCCUUUUUUUCAAAUAGAGUUUCAAGUGUGACCUUGAUGCAUAUCAUCUCUAUGCGAAAUGCAGGCCCACCCUCAUGGUGUUCUCUAUUCCCUACUAAAAUAAUUAUUCCUUAGUGGAGCUAAAUAUCCCCAACUCAUUGAGGCAUCCCCAACAAUUGUCAUUAUUACAUCCUUUAUUUCCCAACAACUUUCAUGAAGAGGUAAAGGUACUUUGACAUUCUGCCUAAUAUAGCCAUGGUAAGGCUUCUUAUGAGCAUUUUGCAGUUUGGUUUGUGUAUGGGGAUCAAGCAACUUUUUAAUGUAGAGAAGACUAUACAUUGUGCUAGCAGAUUCUUCAAUGCAAACAUGUUAAUAUAAGAAUACAAACCUUAUAUUUUUAUCUACCAUAUAUUGAUAGGGAUAUUCCAAAUAGUUUCCAAUAUUCUAUAAGAUAUUUAAUUGUAAUGACAUAUACUUAGGAAUUUGAGAUACUUUCUAAUAAUUUUAGUCUCGUAUCAAAUUCAAUUAAGUUAAUCUUUCAUCUUUUCAUGAUACACGCUUUCAAAAGACUUGUUUUAACCAAAUUCUAACUCCACAUCAUGACCAAAUCUUUACUUCACAUCAUAACUUCUUUAUACGCCACACUCUCCUCAUGUGUCACAUGGUUCCUUUUGUGCACCUCAUGUGUCACAUGGUUCCUUUUGUGCACUAUAGUCUUAUCAUGUGUCACGAUUCCCUCGUGUGCUAUGGAUUUAAAAUCAUUUUUUUCCAUUUUAAACAUGUUAUUUCUUUAUAGCAUUUACUGUCUUUUUCAUUCAAGUUUCCUUUUCCUUUACUUUUAGUAGGACAUUGUUAUAAAACUCUACCUCUCACUUGGUCCGUAGGUUCCUUAUUACACUACCAACACACGCUCUAUUCAAAUUAUAGUCUAGUCUCAAUGUUAAUUUUGCAGAGUUAGACGAUACCCUUACGUGUAUUUCACCCUUGUUUGGAUGGCAAAAAAAAGUUUAGGAACUCACAACGAAGUAGGGAUUGAUGUUGAAUUUGUUAUGGGAUGAUGAAUAGAAUACUUUCCUUCUUACUCCUCUAUUCUACAUAAAUGCACAUACGGACAAGUUCGGUAUAAGUUUGUACUAACUCAAUUGGUAAGUGUCACUUUUUUAAUUAAUAGAUGUUGACAAUUUUGUCUUAAAUUAUAUAUUUUAGUUUUAGGAAAAUCGGUAUAUGUAGAGUUUAGCUUUUAGAAAACUCCCUUUUUAGGUUGACUAAGACUAGGAACUUAUUGUUUAGGAUUAGGUCUAUAAAUAUGUGGCCUACAUAGGAUUUUUUUAAGAGAGUGAAAAGAAAGUAAGUGCAUCCAAUUAAGUGAAAUUGUGUCCUUUUUCAUAUUUAGUAGAUUAUUUAACGUUUGAGAGACCACAUUUGUGUGACUGAUUUAUUUAUAUUUGCAUAAGAAUUUUACUCUCUUUAAAGAAUAAGUAUAAAGAGACAAACUUAAAAUAGGUAAUAAAAUAUUAAUUUGGGGAUUAAUUCAAAGACCACACCUUCUCUAUUUCACUUUAUUUUUUUACUGCAUUUGGAUGUUGUGAUUUUCCUAAAAAGUGGUAUCAGAGCCGUGCAGAGAUAAUGGAAAAAUUAUUUUGAUGAAAAUGUCUAACAUAAAAUAUAAUAUUGAGUUCUUUGAUGGAAAUAAUAAUUUUAGUAUUUGGCAAAGUAUUAUUAAAGAUAUUUGGGUACAACAAGAACUUCUCAAAGUGUCACAAUAAAAAAAAAAAAAAAAAAAUCAGAGAACAUGAAGAUUAAUUAGAAGCAAGAAUGGUAAGUGCUAUUUAUCUAAUUUUGAUUCCUAAAAUAAAAUACAUUUUUUAAAAAUGAGAGAUCUCUUUUUUAUUUAUGAGAAAAUUUAGAGAAAAUUUAUAAGCCAAAAUUCUUAACACAUAAAUUAUAUUUGAAGAAACAAUUAUAUGAGUUGAAGAUAGAUGAAGGAACAAAUGUUAGGAAUCAUACAAAUAAAUUCAAUAAAUGCAUGACUUAGUUAUUAAGGGUAGUGGUCAAGAUUGAUAAGAAUGAUCAAGCUAUUAUUUUCUUAGUGUCUUUACGAAAUUAUAUGAGACAUUGGUGAGUACACAAUUAGUUAGAAAGAUGAUAUUAACCAUUAAUGAUCUAUCAACUACCCUUUAAAUAUUGACCAACCAAGUAAUUCGUCUUGUACCGCACAAGCUUUUGUGGUGAAGUUUGAAUCAAAUCGUGAUAAGAGUAAAUCACAAGGAAGAUAUUAUGAUAUGAGGGAUGAUUGUUCUCAACCACACUUCUAGAGGGAUGUGGAGUUUUACUAUUGCCUCAAAAAAUGACAUAUCAAAAAGUACUAUAAAGAAUUGACAAAACACUUAGAAUCAAAGAGGUAAGCUAAAUUCUAGGAGACUUCAAAUUUUACUAAUAUUGUUGAUAAAAAGUUUGAUACAGAUAAUGUUGUUCUUUUUAUUAUAAUUGAUGAUUUUUUUUUUUUUUUUUUUUACUUUUAGAUUUUGGAUUUUGAAUGUUCUUUUCAUAUGUACCCAUAUUAUAAGUGGUUUGAUACCUAUAAGACUUGCGAUGCUAUUACUAUUAUAAUGGGCAAUGAUUCAAACUAUAAAGCUAUUGGGAUUAGUAUUGGGAAGGUGAAGAUAUUGGAUGGUGUUGUGAGGAUAUUGAGUAAUGUUAAGUAUGCUCCUAAGUCGAGGGGGAGUUCAAUUUCUUUGAAGACUUUGGACAAUUUCAACCAUGACUUUUUUGCUAAAGAAGACAUUAUGAAUAUUAGUAAAGGUGCUUUGAUAAUUAUGAAGGAAGAAAGGUGAAAAUUUCAUACACUUUGAUUGAGAAUACAAUUUUAGAUGCAAUUAUGAUGGUGAAGUCAUGCCAUGAAGUGUCUUAUGCUAGUGUUAAAGAAAUUGUCAUAGCAGAAGAGCACAAAAAAAUACUGGUAGUAGAUGAAAAACACAGAAGUGAGAUGAUCAAGGCUUUGUUUUUGGUUAAAAAUACUUAGUGGCACAAAGAUAAAGACUAAUUGAAAAAGAAAAGUUAUGAAAAAAAGAAUGUUCAUCGAGUCAAAGCUAAUGAGAGACUGAACUUGACAUAUACUUAUUCUCAUUGAUUAUGUGGUGGUGGCAAGGGGUGCAAAGAUGGGUAUCAAGGAAAAAUAACCCUACAUAUAGAUUGAGAAUUUGAAUCAAGAUGGAGAUUAUUAGUAAUUUUGACUUAAAUUAUUUAUUUUUUAUUUUUAGGAAAGCCAAUAUUUGUUGAGUUUAGGUUUUAGUAAAUUACUUUUUUAAAUUUGACUAGGAUUAGGAAACUUAUUUUUAAGGUUAGGUAUAUAAAUAUAUGGUUUUACAUUAGAUUUUAGGAGAAAGUGAAAAAAUGAGCGAAAAAUAUAGAAAGAUAGACAAAUUAUGUAUUGGGUUUUGGUAGAGUGACGUUGAGAAGGUUUGAGUAUAUAUUUUUUAAGUUACUAAUAAAUUUGAUCUCUCUCUCCCAUGAAAUCAUGUAAAUCUUUUAUCUUCUCUAUUUUACUUUAUUCUUUAUAUUGUCUUUGGGUGUUGCAAUUUCCCAAUAAUAGAAUGGUUUGAUCUUAUUUUGUUUCUAAGUAAAAUGUAAAUAAGUUAUCAGGUUAGCAAAUUAUUCAUAUACAUUAUUUUUUUUAGUCAUAUCAUCCAUGAACUUUUUCAAGGUGGCAACCUAUUUGGAAAAACCACAUUUGAUUUAAAAAAAGGAGAAUUGUGUUUUGGGCCAAUUGGGCUCAAAAAUUAAUCAAAGAUCCAUAUAUCAUGCACAUUUAAGCCCAAGACUCAAAUAAAGUGUAAAAAAUUAAGUUGAAUGAUAUUAUCCUUCGUUAAUCCCUCAAAUACCCUUAACACCUACAUAGAUAUAUAGUAAGUGUAAAUUUCAAUUUUUUUUUAAGUGUUUUUUUCUCUUUUCUAUUCCCAAUUAAGUAUUACUCAUUUCUAACUUUUUGUUUUUUCUUUUCUUUUUUAAAGAUAUUGAAUCUUUUUACUCUUAUUAUAAGUAAGGAUAAAAAAUCUUCAUAUAAAAUUUAAUGGAUAAUCAAUGAAUAAAAUUUAAUUCUUUUUAUUAUUUUCAUAUAAAAAAUAGUACUAAACAAGGGUUUCAAUUUUUAUUUUUAAAAAUAGUUUUCAUUUUUUAAUUAAAUGUUUUUUCAAAAAGAAAUAUAAAAAUAUAAAUCAUAUUACCAUUUUUUAGAAAGUAUUUUUUUUAAAUAGUUUUUGAACGUAAUUUUUCUUUAUUUAUAAUUUAAAAUAGAAAAUAAUGUUGAUUUCAAUUAUUUAAAAAAAAUUAAAAAAAAACAAUGAAAAAUCCAAAUGGUUAAAAUAGAAUUAUUAUGAUUGCAUGAAUCGUAGUGCUAUAAAGACCAAAAAAGUUUAUAUGAAAAGUUAAUGAGUAUUUUGAUCUUUUGAUAUCUUAUAUCAUUUCCAUCAAUUAUGUAAGUUAUAUGGACGAAAUCUUAAUUUUUUUGUCUAACUCGCUCAAAAUUCCAUUAUCCCUUUAAAAAAUAAAAUAAAAAUCAAAUCCUCCUUAAACAAAGGAAAGAAAAAGAAACAACAAAUCUUGAAGUGAGGUUUCAACAGAUCUUUGUUCAAUAAAGCAGCCAAGCAUUAUGGGGCUUAGUUGAAAGUACUCAUUUUCAUGAGUCCAAACAAUGAAAGAUUUGAUAUCCAGAAGCAUUCACCUAGUCAAAAAAUUUAAUGAGUUUUUCAGCUUGGUAGAGUCAGGUCAAAUCCACAUGUAGUGAUUCUACAAUUCAGAAUAUAACUGCUUCACUUGGAAAUGAUCAUCAGGAUACCAAUGCAUGAGCACCAAAUCUUCUGAACUACUUUUCUUCAUGUGUCCAGCGUAUAAGUAGAAAAUGGAUCAGUAAGUGCAGGCAUGGAACUGUUGGCAAUAAGUCUGAUCUCUCUGAAGAAGGCCUAAGCUUCCCUUUUUGCUAGUUCAAGUCUAUAGAUGUAAUAGUUCUUGGAAAUGGUAUCUGAUUUCAGACUGGUUGGUGUUGAAACCAUACCAUUUUCUUGCUGUCAUUGUGUCUUAAUGUUUUCAGCUACUUAAAGAAGAGACUGAAAGUGGGGCACCAUAGUGGUAAGUUGGUAAUCGGGGAUGAAAGAAAUGCUCAAGGUUGUAUCAGUCUUGAAUUUCAAAUUGCAUAAAAUUGGCAGAAAAAAAAAUACAAGAAUUUAAUAAGAUAGAUGUUACCUGCUCAUUGCAGGGCUAUGAAAACUCUCUAAUAGCCUAUACAUCAAACGAAACCAGUUUUUUUCAUCUUAAAAUCAAAUGUGGAACUGAAAAGGUUACACACAUAUACAUUAACCAAGAGUCUCUGAAGAACUUUUGCUCCGUGUGACUUCUUAUCGCCUUUGGAAGUUCAAUGCCUUAAUGGCAUAGGCAAAGAUAAAUAAGAAAAGCACCACAAACCCAACGACCACAGCUGCAACCACUCCUAGGAAAUCAUGUUUGAAUCCAAAGUAGUCAUUCAAGUAGUCUUUCACUGUUACACCUGUGUUUAGUUCUUCUGUUAUAUCUCCAAACUGUGAUGUAACCAAUCCAUACAAAGUCCAUGAAACUGGGCAUAUCCAAUAGUACCAUCUCCACCACACGGGUAUUCUCUGUAUUCAUCAAGGAAGAAAUGCAUCAAAAUGAGUCAUUCCUGUAUCCAUGUGGCUAAAGAAAGUUGCAAUUUAAAGAACUAUGGGUUGAGAGCACUUACAUUUCGUGGGACUAUAAAACCUGAAAAGAGGUUCCACAAUCCAUAAAAUGCUGCGGCAACAAUGGAAGCGAUAUUUUGAUUUGGUGUGGCAGCCACAGCCAUCAUGCCAUAGAAGGUGAAGUACAUUAAGGUGAAGAACAUGAAAAACAGAUACCAGAAGAACUUAGCGGCUGUCCAUUGAAAUCCAAUCAUUGCAUAAACUAUAAGACCAUACACCACGGCUUGUGAAAAGAUAUAUGGUAUCUCAACU